UUGUUGGUCUCAAACUAUAUUGGGCGAGUGAUGCUAUAUUAUUAUUACUAGUGAAGGCCCGCGCUUCGCGGCGGGACAUUUAUGUAAUUUUUAAAAUAUUUAAAUAAUUUUUUUAAUUUUUUAAUUUUUAAAUCUAAUUUUAAAAUUUAAACUUCAAAAAUGAAGAGAGUAAAAUUUAAAAAAAUGUUUAAAUAGAGAGAAAUAAAAAAAUUAAAAUCUGAAACACCCAAUUAAAAUUAAAAUAAACGCUGUAUGCUAACUAUUAAAUUUAAAAUCUAAAUAUAAAAAUAUAAAAUCUGUAAAUUUAAAUUUUAAAAUCUCUCUCUCUCUCCCUCUCUCUCUUUCUCCCUCUGGCUCUCUCUCUCUCUCUCUUUCUCCCUCUGGUCUCUCUCUUCUCUCUCUCUCUCUCUCUCUCUCUCUCUCUCUCUCUCUCUCUUCUCUCCUCCUAUCGCCCCUCUCCCUCUCUUCUCUCUUCCCCUCUCUCCCUCAGUCCUCUCCCCACCCCACCCCCCCCGCCCCCCCAACCCGCUUGCGCCUACCCGAGCCCCGCGCCCGUGCCUGCCCCUCGCGCUCGCCUCCGCCCUGUUUGCCGCCACGCGCCGGUGCCCGCGCCCGGCGCCCGCCUGCAGGGAGGCCCUAGCCCGCGCGCGGGUCAGCGCGGAGCUCGCCACUGCGCCAGCGACCGCGCCGCGCGCCCCCUCGCGCUGGGGAGAGGAGGAGAGGGGGGGGAGAGAGAGAGGUGGGGGGAGGAGAGAGGACAGAGAGGGAGAGAGACGGGUGUGGGGGAGGAGAGAGGGGUGGGGGGGGCGGGGGGAGAGGGAGAGACAGGGAGAGAGCCGGAGGGGGGGAAAGAAUAGGGAAGAAAGAGGGGGGCCGCGCACCCGCGGAAGCGGGUCGCGUGCAGGGCGCGGCCGCGGCACCCGCCGGUGCGGGGGCCGCGACGUGGGGAGAGAGAGCGGGAGGGAGGUGGGGGAGAGAGAGAGAGAGAGAGAGAGAGAGAGAGAGAGAGAGAGAAAAGAGAGAGAGGCCCCCGUGCGCGGGGGCGCGGGUCGGGUACCCCGGCACCCCCGUGUCCCCUCUCUCUCUCUCUCUAUCUCUCUCUCGCUCUCCGCGCGACCCUCGCGCGGAAGCGCGCCGGGCGCGGUCCCCUUGGGACCCCUCUUGUCCCCCCUUCUCUCUCUUGUCUGCUUCUCUCUAUCUCUCUCUCCCUCUCUCUCUCUCUCUUGCUCUCUCUCCCUCCCUCUCUCUCUGUUCUCUCUCUCUCUCCUCUCUCUCUCUUUCUCUCGCGCGCGAGCUCCCGCAAAAGCGGGGAGCUCGUCGUACAAACUCUCGAUUAUAUAGUUUAUAUAUAGAUUUAUUAUUAUUAUUGUUGUUGUUGUUGUUGUUGUUGUUAUUGUUAUUUUGCUUCGUUAAUUUUACUUUUCAUAUUCGUAUGCAGUGUAUAUCGUUUAAUAAUGUCUCCUCUUGACCGAUGGUCUCUAGAGUAAGUAGCAAAAAAUUUGAUAGUUGAUAUCCGAGAUUUUAAAUUUAAUCCUAAUUAAUUUAAAUUUAGCUAAAUUAUUUUUAAAUAAAUAAACGAAAAACUAGCAUGUUAUCUAUCUCUUAAAAAAAUUUAAAAAAAAAGUCUCCUUUGAAUUUUGGCAUGUGAAAGAGCGAUAGAUCCACAUGGCACUCCUCAACUUACUGCUAAGAAAGUACCACUCAACACUAUACACACAUAUAUAUAUAUAUAUAUAUAUAUAUAUUUAUAUAUAUAUAUACUAUAUAUAAAAGCACGUAUAUUUAAAUUUGGGUCUGUCGACAGACCCAUUUUUUGGCGGAAAAAUUAGCGCCCAUUUUCUUCUUUCCGUACGAAAAAUUUUAAAUAUAAGAAUAAAAAUAGAAAUAAAAACAGUAAUCAAUACGUAAGUUCUCUAUAACAGAUUAGAGAUCUAAAAAUCCUAAAAUAUAAAUUUUUUUAUUUAAUUUCAAAAGUAAAUUUUUUAUAACAGAUUACGAGUGUGAAAAUCCUAUAAAAGAUAUUUUUCUAUUUUAUUUUAAAAUAUCUUUUUUAGAUAUUAUCUAUUUAAUUUCAAAAUAUAUAUUUUUUUAAGAUAACGGAUUUUAUUUUUCUAUUUAAUUUCAAAAAUUUAUUUCCUAACAGAUUUUAUUUUUCUAUUUAAUUUCAAAAGUAAUUUUUGCAUUAGAGAUUAUUGUUAACUAUUUAUCAUUUAAAGCAUAUCUUUCUUAAUAGCGUGAUUUAUUAUUUUAAAUUUUUUAGAUACAUAUUUGGCAAUCAUAUAAAAUAUGGCCUAAAAUUAAAAAAUAAUUUAAAAAAAUUAUAACUUUUUCUAAUAAUUAUUACGGGUAUUUGCACGUACAUUUUACUAGUAUAUAUAUAUAUAUAUAUAUAUAUAUAUAUAUGGUUGGUGAGAUUGUUGUUUACAGUGACUCGAUUGCGUUUGUAAUGUUAUAUUCCACUCAAUGCCAAAGGACAAUUAUUACCCUCACACUAUAUGCCUCCAUUCAAAAAGGUCAAAAUCUAAUAACAUCAAUAAUUUAAUAUUAUUAAUAAUAUAUUAAUCUAAUUUUUACUGUACAUAUAGAAUGGUUUGAUUCAAAAUUUAUAGAAUAUUUUAAAAAUAUUAUACAUUUUAUAUUUGAAAUGUUAAAUUUAUUAUUAGUUUCAAGCCACUUGGGUUGGAAGGAUGAUAGAAACUAAUAUUUUUUAUUAAUAAAUUAUUAAUUAUUUUCAUCAACUAUACAAAUAAAAAUAAGCAAUGUUGGUGGUACAUCCUUUUGGAGUGUAGGAUAUACGCCCCAUCCUUGAAUGGAUGGGAUGUAUCUACAAGAAGCAUUUUCCAAUAAAAAUAUUUUCUAAUUCAUAACAAUUUAAUAUUUUUAUCACCUAAAAAUUUAUAAUAAUUGUACUAAUUUACUAAUGAUCUUUUACAACUAUUUAAUUGUAAUUAAACGAUAAUAGUUUAAAUAUUUUCAAUUAAAAAUAUAAAAAUUAUUAAAAUAUUAUAAACCACGAAGCAAAGGGUCUUAUUUUAUUGCUAUCCAGAGAGCAUUGCUCUUUGAAUAAAUUUUUAGGCUUAAUUGCAUAUAACUCUCUGUAAAUAUAUUAAAUAGUAGAUAUGUCCUUAUAAAAUUUAACUUUUUAUAUUUAUUAUUAUAAAAGUUUUACCGUUUUCAAAUAUAUGUAUAUUGUUAAGAUUCGUUAGAUAAAUAUAGCUAAACAUAGGUAAAUAUUUAUCCUAAUUAGUGAAUGAGAUAAAUUGAUCUUUUUACUCCUUUUAUAUUGUAAUAAUCCUAUUCACUUAUAAAAAUAAAAGAUGACCGUUGAAAUUUUUGGGAAGAUAUUUAUGCAUAAUUCUAUAAGUUAGGACUUUUAAAAGAACAUAUUUAUGAUGGCAAAAAUAUUAUUUUAUUUAUUUUUUGUUAAAAAGUAAAUAGUGUUCUAACGAUAAUAAAUCAGAAGAAUAAAUAUAAAUAUCACUGAACUUUUAUCAAAAUAAAUAUAAAAAAUUAAACUUUAUAGAGAUAAAUUUAUUAUUCGAUAUAUUUACAUUGAGGUUAUAAUUAACCCUAUUUUUAAUUGUAAGAGACUUGUAGUCCAAUAAAGAUAGGAUUUAUAAAAUAUAAAAUGGUGUCACAGUUGCUUCGAGAUCUAUGAUUUUCUUUUCAUUUUUUAUUUUGGAGAUGCUUAUCUGGUUGGUUUUCGUGUCUCCUAUCUAUAUAAAUAAAAGGAAAAGAUACGUUCAUACUUGUUGUAGAUUUUUUUUUAAAAAAAAAGCUAAAGUGUAAAGUUUAGUAGAAUACUAUAGGAAGAAUAUUGUUAGAAGCACAUAUGUCUCCGUAAUUCCAAAUUAUUUUUAGAUAAUAAGAUAUCUUAAUUAAUUAUUGCUAUGUUAGAUAUAAUUUAUACUGUUAAAAUAUUUAAAAAAUAAAUUUCAUAAUUUUUUGUAUUACUUAAUAAUCAAGAGAUUUCGAAAUUGCUAAUUUGUAAGGCUGAUGUGACAUGCUUGUAUAUAGAGUUUAACAGUAUAAAAGAAUAAAAAUUUGAUAAAAUUUUUAUUAUUUUUUUAAAUAAGAUAAUAACUGUAAUUAGAAACUUAAGUGUUUUAUUAUUAUCAUUUAUGAUAUUUUUAACUUUAGUCGUUUCUCUUUAGAGUAUUGGUUCACUAACCAAAUAAAUUGAAAAGUUAUAAGAUUUAAUUUUCAAAUACGUUUAAUAGUGUAAAUUAUGUAUGACAGCGUUGACCGUCUAGUUCAAUAACCUAUCAUUAAAAAGUAAUUGGAAGUACAGAGUACAGAGACCUCCGUGCCUCAUUAUAUGCUAGCUGUACUCAAAUGAAAAAAUGUUUUCUUGAUUUAUUGCUAUUUGUAUUUUAUCAAACUGGAAGGAUCAAAACAGCAAGGAUAGUUUAUACUAUUGUCCGCUUAAGUAUUAUUUGGUUCGAAUAUAAGUAAGAACUGUCUAUUUCAGGAUAGGUAUAAGUCCGGAUAUAAGCAAGAACUAGAAGUGGGCUUCGUUGGCCCGACAUGAAUCUGGCCUUUUUUUUUUUUUCGAGCCGAGUAUGGCCCGAUCGACUAGUCCUCGGGCUCUUCAAUCUGUUUAAUUAAACGGAUCCAAAUGUGGCCCAAGAAUAUGGCUAUAUAAUAUUAUUCGAUUUUGGUAUUGACCAAAAAAUUCAUUCAUUCUAGUUCUAGUAUUAUUUAUUGACCGAAAUUGAUCAGCUAUAAUAAAUGUAAUCUCUUUCUAAAAACAUUAGAUGUUUUAAUAUUCCUUUUCGAUCCAAAAUAUGAAGUUUUACUUUUUGGACUUUUGCUCCUCUCAAAUUUGCUUUAAAUUUUGAAUUUAAAUUUAAAUUUAAACAGGUGGUGAGGCACAUCAGUCAGUCCUCGACUGGUGUGACUGUCACAACAGAGGAUGGGUCGGUGUACAAAGCAGACUACGUCAUGGUUUCUGUCAGCAUCGGGGUCCUCCAAACUAAGCUCAUCAAAUUCGAACCAGACUUGCCGGUAAGUUGCAUAAACACAAAAAGGAAUCAAACUACUCACAUGUUUUUAAGUUCCAAACAGAAGUUUUGAGCUUUGAAUUAUACUAUCAUUUCAUUGGCUAUUUGUAUCUUAAAAACUUAUAUCGAAGUGUACGUUUUUGAUAUACCAGAGUUGGAAGAUCUUGGCGGUAUAUCAGUUUGAUAUGGCCGUCUACACCAAAAUUUUCCUUAAAUUCCCAUACACGUUCUGGCCUGAAGGGACAGGGACGGAGUUCUUCCUUUAUGCAAGUGAACGGAGGGGUUACUAUCCUGUGUGGCAGGUAAAAUGUUAUCAAAAUAUAUGAAACAAUCGAUUUUCUUGAAAAGGUUAAUCGAACACUUCUCCUCACGUCUGAUCUCAAGAUUUUCUAGUAAGCCAAAGACAAGGGGUUAGAUUAAAUUCAAGAAAGUUUUGAAGUGUUCUUAGUUUGGUUUAGACCUGGCAGUAAGUUAAGAAUUGCGCGCGUGGUUUGCAGCAAUUUGAGAAGCAGUACCCAGGAGCGAACGUGCUGCUGGUGACGGUGACGGACGAGGAGUCGAGAAGGAUCGAACAGCAGUCGGACGAGGAGACGAAGGCGGAAGCCAUGGAGGUGCUGAAGAAGAUGUUUGGGCCCAACAUCCCUGAUGCCACGGACAUACUGGUGCCCAGAUGGUGGUCUGAUAGGUUCUACAAAGGCACCUUCUCAAAUUGGCCCAUCGGUGUCAACCGCUACGAGUACGAUCAAAUCAGGGUAAUAUAUAUAUACAUAUAUAUAUAAACACAAAAUCUAUCCUAUACAUAUUUUUUACUUACAUAUUUUAGUUUCUGAAUUUUCUUUUAAAAAAAUACAUAUAAUUAAUACAGUAAUUUAGUCUCAGGGUAUAAAAAGAAUAUAAUUUUUUCAUAACAUGAAGCUUGUCAUAAUUAAAUGAUUGAUUCACUAAUCCCAUGGUGUGUGUGCGCGCCUGCUUGUCAUAAUUAAAUGAUUGAUUCACUAAUCCCAUGGUGUGUGUAUAUAUAGAGGCCGGCUGGGAUACUCUCGAUAGCACCAAGAAUUUGGUGCUAUCGAGUUUUCCACCGUUAGAUUUAAUCUUUUGAUUAUUUUUAUCCGUUAGAUUGUACUAUUCAAUCAACCACUUACUCAACCCUAGGGGGCUCACAUCAUCCUAAGCACACAUUUUUUAAUCAAAGGGCUAAAAAAUUAAUAGCACCAAUAGUUUUGUACUAUUGAUAGUAUUCCAGCCUAGUUCUCUCUCUCUCUCUCUCUCUCUCUCUCUCUCUCUCUCUAUAUAUAUAUAUAUAUAUAUAUAUAUAUAUAUAUAUAUAUAGUGUAAAAUUAUUAUGCUAUCGAAAUUAUAGAGAAUUUGAUACUUCCGAUUCUUUCACCUUUGGAUCAAGAAUUGUACGGUUGGAAUGAUUGCGGUCCCCCCUACGGUUGAGUGGUGGUCCCUAUAGGAUAAUAGUAUUAAUCCAAAGGUUAGAAAUGAUUAAAGAGACUGAUCUAAGUAACGAAAAGUCGAAAAUACCAUAUUCUCUAUUACUUCCGAUAGCAUAGUAUAUAGUUCGACUAUGUUGCUUCCGAAAGUAUAAAGAAAUUUGUGUGACUUUUUUAAUAUUUGGAUCAACCCUUCAAUCAUUUCUGGCUCUGAGAUUACUAUUAGUCCUCUUACUAGACCACAAAAUCCUAGCAGGGACCACUAAACCUUGGGGGAACCGUUUUCGUUCCAAUCCUAUAAUUUUUUAUUCAAGAAACAAAAAGUUAGAAGCGACAAUUUUUUUAUACUUUUGAAAACAUAGUAGCUUUAUACUAUAUAUCUAUAUAUAUAUAUAGAGAGAGAGAGAGAGAGAGAGAGAGAGUUAAGUAAUUUCCAAAUAUUUAUUUGAAUUUUCUGGUCUGGUUAGGGCUGUCAGAGAAGUUCUAGAUUACAGCAGAGUUAAUAAAAAAAAAUACUCAAUAUCUCUUUGUCACAUUCUACCCAGCUACAUUUUGCUAUAAUAAAAAUUUCAAAUUAAAAAAUUUCUGUUUUUUUAUAACCUAAAAUAAAUCUUAUUUCAGCUUAUCUUGCAUUUAACGAAAGCUUCGACUAGUAGUUUACCAAACAUCCAUCUGCUGCUUCUGGGAACAGAUAAAAUAUUCACAAACGACUAAAUUGACUAGCUCAAAAUGCAUCAGUACUUAAAGUGUACAUGUGAGAUAUUAAUAGUGCUAUUUUGGUGCUCCAUUUGUAGGCACCUGUUGGGCGGAUUUACUUCACUGGGGAGCACACAAGCGAGCAUUACAAUGGCUACGUUCACGGAGCAUAUCUUGCAGGCAUAUACAUACACACAAAAUGUUUCAUGUUUGACCAAAGACAUUUUGUUAUUUCUCUACUGAGUUGGGAUGUUAAUACACUUGCGCAAAUUACAACUAAUUGCAGGCAUUGAUUCUGCCAACAUCAUGAUCAAGUGCAUCAAGCACGGUUUCUGCAAGGUCCAAAUCAAGGACAAGGACUCCUAAGUUUCGAAAGGUAAUUGAUGUUCUCGAUCGCGAGUUUCUACUUUUCUAUUUAGCUUGGUGUCUGCAACAGUUUCUUCACUCAACGACCGUCCCUAGAUCAAGUGGCAAAAGGCUUGUUGGUUGGUAUCCGAGGCCUAAAUUCGAAUCCUAGUUGAUUCACAUUUCUAGCUAAAUUUAUUUCUGAAUGAAAUAAACGAAGUGGAUAGCGUGCUACCUAUCUCUCAAAAAAAUAAAAUAAAAUAAAAAAACAGUUUCUUCACUUCAGAAGUAGAGCCAAUAGGCCUUGCCUAGCUAUGCAAGAAUGCCUAGAAAAUGAGUUUUUCAGCCCAACCAGGCGUGAGAUUCAAAUUAAACUACUUUUAGAAAAGGGUUGAUUGCACAUAGCUGCUACUUUUUCAUAUCUAUUUAAUUGUAAUUGUUGAAGAAAAUAAUUUCAAUUAGAGAUAAAUUUACGCAUGAAAUUAUAAGAAAUAAUUUUUUUCUUUAAGACUUGUACAUAUAGUUUUCAUCUAUAUACAACUAAACAAAUUACUUCUAUCCAAAUAUAUAUACAAGGUUAUAAUUGUCGUAUAUUUAAGUAUAUGUAUUUAAAACUAUGCCGUAUUUACAGUUGCGUCAGACCAAACGACUCUUUUUAGGGGUGGAAACGAGCCGAGCUCGAACGAGCUUACCUCGGCUCAAAUUCGGCUUGAAAUUAAUUUCGAGCUUAAAUUUAAGCUCAAGCUUGGAUUGAAAUUAAUUCGAGCCGAGCUCGAGCGAGCUUAAUUUCGAGUCGAGCGAGCUCGAGCCCUAAACGAGCCGCUUGAAAUUCUCAACAUCAUACGAUCAAUAGUUUAAUUUGUAUAGAACAGUAUUUAUAAUUUGAUACAAAAAUAUGUCUAAUAGUUCAAAGUACAAAAUAAUUAUAUAAAAUACAGUAUUAUAAUAUGAAAAAAAUAAUUUAUGAGUUGAAUAUCUAAUCUUUUCAGCCUCACAUGUCUUUUCUUCUGCCUUCAAUCUUCAUAUUAUUUAUUUUAUUUUCAUUUAUGCAGUCAAAAAUAAAUAAAUUAUAUAGAUAAAUAUGGAUAAACUAUCCAAUCAUAUAUAACAAAAAUUAAAAUUUAUAUGAAUAAUAAUUUUUACUUUAAAAAUAUUAUGUAUAUUUUUCUCAAGCAUACAAUUAAUAGCAAGGUAGGCAACGGCAGCAUAUACUGUUACUUGGUAACUUGGGAGAGCUUCCGACUGGCCGCUUAGGGUGAGAGACAGAAAAAGAGAAAGAGAGAAAUAUAUUGAAAAAUUUAGAGUUCUGUGAAAGAAAGAAGAAAGGAAAAAUGUAUAAAUUUAGUAAAAUUUGCUUUUUUUUUUUAUUGUCUAUUUGGUUUGUUUUAUGGGGCAACAACAUUGGCCAAUUUUAAUUAAACUUAAAUUAUUCACUCAGCCUAUAUAUAAUUAAAAUAUAUUAUAUUAAUAUUUUUAAAUAUAUAUAUAUAUAUAUAGUGUAGAACUAUCAUGCUAUCGAAAAUAUAGAGGAUUUGAUGUUUUCGAAUUUUUGACCAUUUGAUUAAAGAAUUAUAUGGUUGGGAUGAUUGCAGUCCCUCCUAGGAUUAAAUAAUAUCCCUAGGAUUGAGUGGUCCCUACAAGAUAAUAAUAGUAUUAGUUCAAAAAAAAUGAUUAAAGGGGUUGAUCUAAGAAUCAAAAAAUUGAAAGCAUCAUAUCCUCUAUACUUUCAAUAGCAUAGUAGUUCUACUAUAUAUAUAUAUAUAUAUAUAUAGUAGAACUACUAUGCUAUCGAAAGUAUAGAGGAUACGUAUAUAUAUAUUCGAGCUUUUCGAGCUUUUCGAGUUUUUCGAGCCUAAUUCGAACGAGCCGAGUAAUACUCAAGCUCGGCUUGAAAUGAAUUUCGAGCCUUUUUUUUUGUUCAAGCUCGGCUCAUUUAAUUUCGAGUCGAGCUCGAGCGAGCCAAAUAUCGAGUCGAACGCGAGUCGAACGCGAGCCGGCUCGCUCAUUUGCCAGCCCUAGCUCUUUUGUCUUUAUUUAGAAGGAUGAAAAGCUGUUGUGAGGUACUGCAUAAAUAAAUAGGCCCAAAAAGAAGAUUUUGGAUGACCACAUAUUUCAUUUGUAAAAUAAAUUCCUCAUUUAGUACCACAUUUUAGUAUGGUAGUGCAUGAUAAUUGCUGUGAAAUUUAAUUAUCUUUCACUUCUCUUUGCAGGUAAUAUGAUCAAUAAGAUGCCAUAAUAUUGGAAACGCAAAAAGCGUCGUAUCUCCCUGAAAUUUUAUUCUGAAAUUACGCUUCUUCCAUUGUAUCUUUUAUUAGUUUUUUCCUUGGAAGGACAUUAAAUUGGAACUUAAUAAACAUGCAUGCUUGAUUAUUGUCUACGCAAUUAUAUCGAAAGAGUAAUGCCAUUAAAAAAAAACUGAUUUAAUUCUUAGAUUAUUAAGUUUGGUCUUUUUCACUGCUUGAAUAUAAUCAGAUUCAGUUAACCGGCCUGUCUGUUCCUCUUAAAAUUGGAUCUGUUGAUAUCGCUUCCACACUCAAAACCAAAAUUUAAGGAGAAAACACAUCUAACCUAUGAUCAAGAUUCAAGAAUAGCACAUGACUGCUAUAGAAAACAAGCUAUAGUUGGAUUCCUUGAUUCUCAAGUUGUAUUAGGCUGAAUAUAUAUUAGAUGCAAGUGUACAAAGUAUUUGUUUAAACAUAUGUGAAACAAUAGAAUGGUAACAAAAUUUAAAAUCCCCUACACUCCCCCUCAACCUAUGCAGCUGGAUAGACAACGCAUAAGUUGUCCUGAAAAGUUUCAAAUUUGAAAGUAGAAAGACUAAGGGAUUCAAGUGCAAAUAGCAGGCUGUAUCGACGGAAAAGAAAUUGUAAAAUGGAGAUAUCUCUAUAUAUUUUGUACCAGUAUGCUGCACUGGAUUAGUGCCCAUAUAAGUUGUACUAAUAUUACCACAGUAUACAUGAGACAUGUUUGGUGUUCGUAACAUGUAACUCAUAGAGUAGCUAAGCCAACCAAACAACAUCAGCAACAGUUCUAGCCAUAGCCCUAUAUUCAGCUUCGACGCUUGAGCAAGAAAUAGCAAGUUAUUUCUUAGAGACCAUGAAAAAGAAUGAGCAUCAAAAUAACGGGAUUGAAUGCUGACUUUGAUGGCAAGUGACCUAGUAUGUAUUGGAAAAAUGCUUGAAGAGUUAGUGAUAUUUGCAGUCAAAAGAGGAUAUCUUAGUGAGAUGAUCCAUGUAAAUAAUAUAAAUACGUUUUACAACCUGCAUAUAAGGAGUUCUUUUAAGUAGGAUUCCCUAAUUCCCAGAUUGUAUUAGAUUGAAUAUAUAUUAGAUUCGAGUGUAUAAAAUAUCUUUCUAGACAUAUAUGAAAUUACAGAAUGAUGAGAUAUUUAAAAUUUUCUACUACUUCUUCAAUUGAAUGUGGCUCAAAGAUUAGCACUAGAAGGGAAAAGAAAACGAAAGGUUUGGUGUUGAUGCAAAUAUCAUUAUCUCUUGAUAGAUAAGUGAAAGAAGAGAAACAAACCAAGAAUGAUUAACUAAAUCCUCCAAGCUGUACAUUAGUGCCCAGAACAGAGAUCCUGCCUGAACUUGGACCACCACAUCAGCUGUGGACUGUAAGCACAUCUUGCCUUAUUCCAAAUUAUCGUGUGCAUAUAUAUAUAUAGGCCAUGGCUACUAUACUAUUAUGAGUAUUGAAGCCCUCGUACUCAUAAGUUGUUUUUGAUGAUGGAGCUUCCGAAUCGACGAUCCACUCCGUUAAAUAUCAGCUAGAGUAUUUAAAACUUCUAGAAAAUAAAUUUCGUAAAUUUUCGAAAUCAUAAUAAAGUCCAUCAAGCGGACAUAAAAUGAACGGUCAAAAUCGAACGACGUCCUAAAAAUGGAUGAUCGGAUCCUUCAAUUCAAGAUCAGAGUUAUUGAUCUUUAUCUAGGUAGUGAAUAGAAUUUUCUAUCAAAUAUUCAACAAAUUUUAAUUCUUUUACGCCGUUAAACUAGCAAGUAUCUCAUACCGGCCGUUAAAAAUUAUAAAUUUUGUGACCUCUUGAUCGUGAGGUAAAUGAUGUCGAAAAAUUAUAAAAUUUGAUUUCUAGAAGUUAUAAAUGCUAUAAAUAACGUUUAACGGUGUGGAUCGUCGAUUCGGAAGCUCUAUCAUCGAAAACGACUUAUGAGUACGAGGGCGAUCGUACUCAUAAUAGUAUAGUAGCCGGACCCUAUAUAUAUAGUAGGGCUAGAAUACUUGUAAAAGUAUCAUGGGGGUGAUACUUGUGUGUUUUUAGCCCUUGGAUGGAGAGAUGUGAGGUUGAGAUGAUGGUGGUAGGUAGUGGUAGGUGGUGGUAGGUGGAAUAGUAUUUAAUCCAAGGACUAUUAAUAAUCAAAAAGUAAAUCUAAUGACUUAAAACCUAAUAGCACCAUGAUGGUGAUACUUGUAAAAGUAUCAUAACUCAGCUCUCUCUCUCUCUCUCUCUCUCUCUCUCUCUAUAUAUAUAUAUAUAUAUAUAUAUAUAUUGAAGAUGAGGAUUGAAACCUGAAAUUCAAUAAACAUCAAUAUAUUGAAAUCAGAGUUUCUUUUUUUCUUUGGAAGGUGUGGAUUGAACAGAAAAACACAAUGAAGCGGAGGUUGUUUAUAGGGCGGUCCACCACUGACCUGGUGCACCAGGUGGACGCAACAAAAGGUAAAGCGAGGUACUUUAGUCCUGUAUCGACUGUAGCGAAGAACGGAAGGGGCGAGGAGAGUACAAGAGGAGGCCUCCAUGCGUGAUUCAAACUCAUACCUUUCUCGGCCUUUUGGCUAAGAUCAAGUGUAGUUUCUGUUCUUAUCAGUUUAAUAUCUGAUACGUGGGCCAUGUGCCCACCUUGAUAUUAAAUUAAUUUUUUGUGGGAGAGGGCCCACCCACGGUAGCUUGCUACCGGGGCCCUCGUGUGUUGCCCUUGCGUUGCACUACUGCUCGGGCUUGGCGCAUCCCUACUAAGUCUAAAUGCUCAAAUGCUUUUAAUUUAUUAAUUAUUUGCUUAUUGUUCUUGCGUAGCGUGAAAGUUUUCUUCAAAAUAUAUUUUUUCGUACAAUUGUGGAGUGGGCUAUUUUAUGAAUCUGAAUGGAAAAACUAUUUACACGCAAGAUCAAAACUAUGGCGAUAAUUCAUUUUCCUCUCUACUUCCUCUCAAUAAUGUGUGAAACAGUUGGGCAAUGACAUAAUAGCAAGUUAUGGGCUAAGAGGUAUAGUGAUGCAAACGGGGCUGACUUAGGGGCGGGAGUCCCCUCUCGCGUCCCGUUCCGAGUAUCAAAAUCGCACCUGCCGUCCACCCGGAAUAUAUGAUGGGUUAAGAAAUAUAUAUCUCAUAAUCCGUUUCGCCUCACAAUCCAUUUUCUGCCGGUGCUCCAAAUCCUCCCCGUCAAUUUUUUUUUUAAAAAAAAUUAUAAUAUUAUUAAUAUUUUAUAAAAUAUAAAUUAAUAUUUUUUUACUAAUAAUGAAUAAUGUUACUAAGUUAUGUAUAUAAUAUUAAUAACAUCAAUUAUAAAAAGCAAAAUUCAAAAGUUUUAAACACAUGAGAAAUGAGAGCACCAAUUUAUUUGUAUUUUGGACUUUUUUUGUAAAUAUAUUAUAUUUUAGAAAUAUUCUUUAAAAUAUAAAUAAUUUUUGGUGUGCAUUCCAAGUGAAUCAUGGUAGGGCAGAUUCAAGACGGAGCAAAAUUUUUUUCGUUUCCUGCCCCGAAUCCGUUUCGGACCAUAAAUAUUACUCUAUUUUCUGUCUCGAAUCCGUUUAUUUAUUUCUAUUUACUGCCCAAUUUGGGACGGACGUUCUACCAACCGGGAUCCGUUUGCAUCGCCAAUAGAGUGGAGAGCUGGUAGUAACACUUAGGAAAACCUUAAUGCAACCAAACAACCUUAAAUGAACCCAAGGACACAUUUCAUUCGUUACGGUAAUAUAAUAUUAGAUUACAACAUAUGUAGGAUUACUAAAGUUGGUUCAAUUUAAAAUUCAGUAAUCAUGACAAUAAAGUGUAUUCUAUUCAAAUUAUCAUUUAUGAUCAUAUUUAAUAUUAUUUUUUAAUAAACUUAAAUUAAUAUAAUUUGUAUUUAAUUAAUUUUAUUAAUAAGCAAUAUAAGACAUAAAUAAAAAAAACUGCACAUGAAAACAAUUUAUAAAGCCAAAUUGGUUAUAACCCAUAGAAGAAUAAAUAAAAAAUAAUCAUAUUACAUAAUAAUAUGAUCAUACAAGAACAAGUAGUACAUUUUAAUUUAAAAUUUUAUUUAUAAGCAAUAUAAUUAACCAAAUAUCCUAAGAAAUGUCUCUUCAGCCCCAGCUUAUUAAAAGACCCAUUUUUCUUAAGAAAUCCACCCCAUGUACAAAAGCCCACCAUUUCAAUCUGAUCUGAAUUUUAUUGUUUCUCGUCUCGGGUAGUGCCGAAAUCCGAAUUUUAUCAACUUUUUGACCCCAAUUCCUCAAAUUAGGAUGAGGGUCUUCUUUAUAUAUCUUUGGAUUUGGCCAUUUGGGCAAAAUUUAUUGUUUUUUGCGUUCUCUUGGGCGUUUUUUCAAACACCUGAUGUGCAAGAUCUGAUGUUUUGAUGGAAUUUAAUAAUUUAGGAAUGUAAUGUGAGUCGUGCUGUGCCCCGAACGGAUUCAGCCUAGGGUUGGCUUGGCCUGGCCUGACCAGGUUACAAAUCCGACCGACCCGUGCCGGCCCGUUUUCUCAGAGUAGAAGGCCUAGCCCGGCCGCUUGGCCUGCCCGGCACGUGCUGUGCCGGGCCAGGCCGGGCUUCGUGCCAGCCUAGUAAAAGGCAUUUUUUUUUAUUUCUUCCCAACCGUCUUUUGUUAAUUUUUUUAAAAUUUUCUUUUUUAGAAAAAGAGAUAACUAAUUUUUAAAUUAUACGUUCUUGACUUUUUUUUUUUUUAUUUACACAAUUAUACCCAACUUUUUUUAAACUCUUGUAACAAUUUUAUAAAUUUUUAAAAAAGCUAAAAUACUAACCAUAAAUUUAACUUUUUAAUAUCAUUAAUUUUUAAUAUUAUAUAAAAUUUAAAACACAGAGAUCAAUAAUUUUAACUUUUCAAUUAUAUUAGAUGUUUUAAUAUAAAUUUUUUAACUUCGGUUUCGUUUGGGAUUGUAGGAAGAUUGUGCUAUGUGCAGUGAGAAAGUACGAUAGAAAAAUGUCCUAUUUAUUACUAUACGUAAUAUUGCGUUCCGCAAAUCGCGAUGAGUCGGUUAUGACAUAUUUUCUGCGGUUCCAUCGGAGAACGCAGAAACAUAUCCUUGUAUACUUUUAUCCCAACUCUAUUUGAUCUAAUAGAUUCAGAUGAGCCUCAAUACCAAACUAAGCAUUACAUUUUUUUUGAUCCAAUAACCAACUUUAAUAAUCAACCGUAACUUUAAUAAUCAAUCGUUCCUAGCACAAGUGGCAAAGGACUUGGUGGUUGGUAGCCGAGGUCCCAAGUUCGAAUCUUAGUUGAUCCACAUUUCCAGCUAAAUUUAUUUUUAAAUAAAAAGAACGAAGCGGGUAGCAUGCUUUCUAUCUCUCUCUCAAAAAAAAAAAACUUUAAUAUAAGAUUAAAUAUUGUGUUGAGAAUGAAAUUUUUGUAAAAAAAGAAUGUUGUUGAAAAGAUUAAAAAAAUUUGUAAAGUAAACUUGAGAUGGAAAAAAAAAUUAGCUAGAAAGUUUGAGAGUAGGAAGAAUUAUUGUUUGUAGAAAAAAAUGAAUGAAUAUUUGUUUGUUGUAAUAAAAUUUAGAAAUUUGUAAAAGUAUUUAUAGAUGUAAAAAAAAUUUAAAUUUUUUUAAAAAAUAAAAAAUAUUUUUAAUCAAAAUGCCUUAUCCAACAGUCAAAUUUUAGAAUGUUAGUGAGGGCAUUGUGGUCAUUUUGACCAAAAAGAUGUCUUUUUUAAUAUUUUUACCCUCUAUGGGCCUGUUUGUUUUAACGGAAGUGGGGUGGAAGUGGGAAAGGGGAAGUGAUAUUCGGUGAAAACAGACCACUUCCGCUGUUUGGUUCACCGUAAUUUUAUUAUCCCCGAAAAUCUAGUUCACCCAAAAUAAAAAAAAUUGACUUCACCCUCCAUGGGGCGAAGUCAAUUUCGGUGAGGUGAAAAGAGGCAAGAGUAGGAAUUAAUGUGUUAGGGCUACCCUCUUCUCUACCCUUUCCUCUCCCGAGUCCCGACCCAACUCCACAUCGUCAUUUUUUUUUUUUCUCAGUAGACACCACAAAAGAAAAUUUGAUCUUGUCUAAAAUAUGAUCAAAUUUGGUUAGGAAAAUUUUAAUAUAUUUUUUGUUUAAUUUGUAUAUUUAGAAAAUGAAGAAAAAUGAAUUUGUUAGAUGUUAAUAAUUUUUUAACUUUAGAAUUUUAUUUGUUGCAUUAUUAUAAUUUAUAUGCAAACAAAUAAUAUAAUUUUUAAAAAUUUUAUUUUAUAAUUAUACAUAUAUAUAUAAUUAUAUACAUAUCUAAUUAUAUUAAUUUUUAUUUAUUAUAAUUUAUUAUUCACUAAGUUACAAAAUAGCCAAUGAUAUCACUUCGGAGGUAGGUAUACCGGAGGUGGAGAGCUAUACUUUUUACGUCAUCUACUUCUUAUCAAACAAACAACAGAACUCGCAGAACUGCACUUCCACAAUUAGAAACAAACAGCAGAAGUGAAUUAAUUUUCAUCCCAACUCCAUUUCAACCCAAAGUCCACUUCCACCCCAAAUUUACUUACGUUGAAACAAACAUGCCCUAUAUAUAUAUAUAUAUAUAUAUAUAUAUAUAUAUAUAUAUAUAUAUAUAUAUAUAUAUAUAUAUAUAGAGAGAGAGAGAGAGAGAGAGAGAGAGUUCGGCUAGGAUAUUAUCGAUAGCAUCAAGCGUUUGGUGCUAUCAAGUUUUCCACCGUUAGAUUUAACCCUUUGACUAUUUUCACCAUUUAGAUUAUACUAUUAAAUCAAUAACUCACUCAACCCCAGGGGGCCCACAUCAUCUUAACCGUUCAUUUUUUCAUCCAAGAGCCAAAAACCUAUUUACACAAAGCUCUUGGUGCUAUUAAUAGUAUACCAGCCUAGGUCUACAUAUAUAUGCUGGGGCUACUAUACUCUUAUGAGUAUAAAACCCCUUGUACUAAUAAAUUUUUAACCGUUGAUUGAUGGGUUGUGUGGUUAGGAUGAUGGUGGUCCCCACUUAGAAUGAUAGUGGUCCCCUAGGGUUGAGUGGGUAGUUGGUUGAAUAAUAUGAUCUAACGGGUGGAAAUGAUCAUAGAAUAAAUCUAAGGGACAAAAACUUAUGAGUAUAAGGGAGCUCAUACUCAUAAAAGUAUAGUAGCCGGACUCUAUAUAUAUAUAGCAUAGUAACCAUGCUAUGCGACGAAUAGAUAAUUGGAGAAAAUAUAGAAAAUAUCGAUAAAAAAAGAGAAAACGACGAUAAAAAAAGCGAUGAUGAGGGGUGUGAUUCAUCAUGUCGAUGAAUGAAAAUAACAGCCGAAGGAAAAGUAAGAGAAAGGACUUGAGCUGGUUCGGUGUGGAGUCCACACUCAACCAUGAAGGAAAAGUUGCCACAUGCCAACUUUAGGAGAAAUAAUGUAUAAUAAAGUAUAUAUACAGAGAGAGAGAGAGAGAGAGAGAGAGAGAGAGAGAGAGAGAGAGAGAGAGAGAGAGAGAGUUGAGUUGGAAUNUACAGAGAGAGAGAGAGAGAGAGAGAGAGAGAGAGAGAGAGAGAGAGAGAGAGAGAAAGAGAGUUGAGUUGGAAUGCUACUAAUAGCAAAAGGACUCCAUUGCCACCCAUUUGUUUUCGAUGAUGGAGCCUCUAAAUCGAUGAUCGACACUGUUGAACAUCAUCUAUGCCACUUGAAACAUCUAAAAACCAAAUUUCAUGUUUUUUCGAUAUCACUUUUUUGUCUAUCAAGUGGAGGCCUCUGUGCUACCAAAUUAUUUUCGAUAAUGCAGCUUCCAAAUCGACGAUCGGCUCUGUUAGACUUGAUCUACACUAUUGAAAGUUUUUGAAAACUAAAUUUCAAAUUUUUUCGACAUUAUUUGACUAGUGAUCAAAAGAUCUCAAAAUUGACAAUUUUAAUGGCCGAUGUGGUGUGUUUGUGAGUUUAACGGUNCCAAAUUGACGAUCGGCUCCGUUAGACUUGAUCUACACUAUUAAUAGUAUUUGGAAACUAAAUUUCAUAAUUUUUCGACAUCAUUUGGCUAGUGAUCAAAAGUCUCAAAAUUGAUAAUUUUAAUGGUAGAUUUGAUGCGUUUGUGAAUUUAAUGGUAUAAAAUAAUUCAAAUCUGAUAAAAUUUUUGUAGAAAAUUCUUUUCACUAUUUAGAGUAAGAUCAGUAACUCUUGUCACGCCCCGAGCUCUGCCAAUUUGGUCGGAUUCGGGCACGUCGGCAGACCGCCGAACGGACAGAGCUUCCCCUGUACGUUUUAGGCGUAACAAUCUAAAUAAUGCAAUACGCGAGGUUCCAACCAGGAACAGUAGCAAAUAUAUAGAUUGCAGAAGUACCAAAAACAUAAAAUGACAACUAUACUAUUACAAGCAUUCAUCUCAAGAUUUUACAUUUACAUAACCACAUAUACCUUUAAAUUAUUACAACUUAUACAAAUUUGAUACAAGUUUGUUUCUUUCAUACUUAUACUCUGAGCUAGACUGCUUCUGGGUACUGCUAUCUCUGGUCUCGGUGGUAGGGCGCUAUCUAUGAAGCUACGCCCUGUCCUCGCGCCGUCGCGCCGCUCACGUACAACCUGUACCCCCAAAACAAUAUGGGGGUGAGAACUAUAUAAAUAUAGUUCCCAGUGGGUACGGCCACCCAAGAGAAGAGCUCGACCCACCAGGUCCAAAGGAGGCAACAGUAGGUUAGUUCAACAAAUAGAUAGAUAGAUAUUUGACUAACCAACAAAUAAAACCAUACCUUGCCUCGCUGCUAUGCAAUAUGCAAUACCUGUAAAUCAUGUAAGUAGAUUACUUGAUUCUACUUUAUAUCAUUAACCAUUCUUUACUUGUAGCCGUUCUCUUCUUUCUUAGUUGUUCUCGUUCAUUAGCUAUUUUCUUUUUUAUUUACUCUUUGUCAAAUUAUGCUCACUGGCGAUUCUUUCCUAAGGUUAUAUUACCUUAGCCAUCUAUGCCACUCGACUCGGUCUUGAGUCAAUCAUCCGCGGAGUACCGCGUCAGGUCAGACUCGAGGUGAAGGACGUCUCACAAACACCUCAGCCUUAAGUCCACGCGACACUAGGUCCAUUACAGGGAGAGGAGAACCGUCGAUCCCCGUGACCCUAAGUCGCUCAAGCUUAACGGGCGAGGAGAACCGUCAAACCCGUUAGCUCAUACCGGGAGAGGAGAACCGUCGAUCCCGUUGAAUCACUACCGGGAGAGGAGAACCGUCGAUCCCGUAGUUCCGAUUCACUUGUUUCAUGGCAUACCGGGAGAGGAGAACCGUCGAUCCCGUUGAAUCACUACCGGGAGAGGAGAACCGUCGAUCCCGUAGUUAUGAUUCUACUCUUGCCAUCACACCAUUCCUAGGGAUUCCGGAACCCACUUUCACAACUUAAGGGUUUACUCUUUUACCCUAUGUCGACGACUUUUCUAGGUCUAUACUAUUCACUUUCUAGUGGUCCUAUUGCCAGUACUAUAAUUCAUAACUUAGUUUACUUUUACUGAGUGUUUCUUUACAUCAUAACCUAGGUUCAUUUACACUAGGUUUCAUGUUCCUUCACCUAGAUUUCGACUCUAGGUUUACUAAUUCGAUCUAUAUUCAAUGACACUAGGUUCAUUUCAUAUCCAACCUAUGUUUUAAGAACACUAGGUUCAUUUCAUGUCCAACCUAUGUUUAAUAACACUAGGUUCAUGCCACUCGAUCUAUACAACGUCUAACCUAGGUUUAAUAACUUAGGUUUCAUGCCACUCGAUCUAUUCAUUAUCCUAGUUAUCCACGCCUAGAAUUAUAAUUUGCACAUUUUCAUUUACUUGGUUACCGUCCAGAUUUCUACUCAAUUGGAGUUGUCGAUUUAUACCCAAUUCUUAGAGAUUUAACAUGAGGUUCAUAGUUUACAUAUUCUCACUUAUCUUGUUACCAUCGAGGUUUCUAAGCAACUAAAAUUAUCGACAUUCAUAUAGCUUGAACUAUAGUACAUUCACUUUCAUAUAUGUUUAGACAUAGGCAUUAAACUUUCACUUUUAUGUGGCAACAUUUAUGUAGGCUUUAGCUUCUAUGUUCACAAUUCAUAUUCAGCUUACGUGCCCUUGGCAUUUAUAGGUUUACCAUUCAUAUAUCAUGUAUUUGAACAUAUGAAUUUAGCAUAACUAUGCAUCUAGUUUUCACGUUCAUAUAUCGACAAUUAUAUGUAUCUAGCAUGAUCUACAACAUAUUCAUAUGCCUCUAGCAUGUUUACCAUUAUACAUCAUCUAGCAUUAACCAUAAUGUAUUCAUAUGUCAUUAAUCAUAUAUGCCUACGCAUAUGCAAUUAGCAUUAAUGUUCAUAUGUCGACAAUCAUAUUCAUAUAUGCGUCAAAUGAAACCAUAUUUUACUUUGGCAUGGAAGUGACCUAAUCACUUCGGUAAAGCACAACCCACCUUUAUUUGAUACCGGAAUGAGAGAAAUCCGUUUCUCGCACCUUUCCAAGAAUCGCGACCCGCGCUCGCGACAAUUGAUGCCGAAAACGUCUUUUUGGUGAUAUCUUCGCGUAGGCUCGACGGAUUGCCGAACCGACUUCACCAAUGCGUUUGUUUUACCCUCAAUUAGGUUUGUACGCGGUCAAUUUCACGUUAGGACUUCUAUCCUGCAAAAGUGCAUUAUCGGGGUCAGUUUCUAUAGAAACCUGUUUCUAUGAAAUUUCACAAUUGACAUAGAGUAAUUCAACUCUUUACUAGCCUAAGAACCUUAAACAAUUAGUUUAGAGGUCUCACAUCAAUCCCUAAUAAAGGAUUACAAAAAUCUGCCCAAAUAAUUCGAUUCCAUCUUUCUCUCUAUCUCAUUUUCUUUCUUUCAUUUUUCUUCUUAUUCUUUCUUGCUUUCUUUCUUUCUUUCUUUCUUUCUUGCUUUGUUUCUUUCUUUCCUUUCUUUCUUUCUUGCUUUCUUUCUUUCUUUCCUUUCUUUCUCUGCAGGGCAGCUGCUGCUGCUGCUCAGCAGCUCCUGCUGAGCUGCUGCUGCUCCUGCUGAAGCUGCUGCUGAGCUGCUGUUGUUGUUAUUACUGCUGCUGUUGCUGAGCUGAAGCUGCUACUGCUGCUCCUGCUACUGCUGCUGCGCAAGCUGCUGCUGCUGAGCUGAAGCUGCUGCUGCUGCUCCUGCUACUGCUGCUGCACAAGCUGUUGCUGCUGCUGAGCUACUAUUGCUGCUGCUGCUACAACUAGUAGCAGCAGGGAGAGAGAUGAGAGGGAGAGGUUAAACUCUUACCUCUUAUCUUCUUCUUUUUCUUCUUCUUCUUCUUCUUCUUCUUCUUCUCUUUUCUCUUCUUCUCUUUUCUCUUCUUUUCUCCUUCUCUCUCUCUACGUAUGAAGAAUGAGCUGAAGAGAGGAUAAGGAUGGCCCUGGCAGGUUAGUGGAAUUCCACUAAUAUGGUAAUAAUUACCAUAAUGCACCUCGACUAAUCCGUUUAGCAUCUCGGAUCAGAUACCUUUCGCAGGCCCUUCCAAAUAUCUGAUUGAGCUCAAAUUUGACAGGCAUGCUCGGUUUUACUUAACAAGUUCACUGAAAUUUUAACAUUUCAGUUUCGACCCCGUUUGGUCACUGCGAACUGUCCCGAUCUGUAAUCUUUAUCAGAUAACUUUCGGAUGCUAUUUCUCUCUCUACAGGUGGCAGAAUAAUAUGAAACUUCAAAUCUAGCCUCAUAAAACCAUUUCUGACAUCUCUGCCAAUUUUCAUAAUUUUCUGACACUGUGCAUUUUCUGCUAAUUUCUCAGUCCCAUGCUUUACAGAAAAUUCUAAAUCUUCCGUUUUCGCUCCGAUUUCAACACGAGCCAUUCCAGACUUAUACUUUACACCCUUAAGUCCAAUCAAAUGGUAUCUCACACCAUUUUAUGUUAUUUUGCUCACUUUAAUUCUUUUAAUUAAAGUUAGCAUCGGAAAUCCGAAAUUCUCUCUACAUUUCUUUUCGCACCCAAUUUGCGCCGAAAUACUUAUUUAUCUCCAGAAUUCAUUCACACGCAUCACAAAUCACUCGGGGAGGAUGUCCAACUAGCUCAAUCCUCACUUUGAUCUUCUAGAUCAAAGUUGACAUCGCAACUCCAAGUUUCAGUAUAUUACAACUCUAAUCUUAAAUUCAAAUCUUUUAUCAUUAGUUUUUAUAAGAUUUUUAUUUUUAGCCGUUUAUUUUUAGACUACUCGUUUGAUAGGUAAAUGAUGCCGAAAUAUUAUGAAAUUUAGUUUCCAAAUACUUUCAAUAAUGUAGAUCAAGUCUAAUAGAGCUGAUCGUCGAUUUGGAAGCCGCAUUAUUGAAAAUAACUUGGUAGCACGGAGGCCUCCGUACUACCGAUAGUAUACCAGUCUAGCUCUCUCUCUCUCUCUCUCUCUCUCUCUCUCUCUCUCUCUCUCUCUAUAUAUAUAUAUAUAUAGCAGGACUACUGUGCUCUUAGGAGCACGGAGGCCUCCGUGCUCCUGAGCCGUUUUCAGUGAUGGAAUUUCCGAAGCGACGAUCGGCUCCGUUAGACUUGAUCUAACGUAUUUGAAGUUUCUAGAAAAUAAUUUUUUCGAUUUUUCGAUAUCAUUUACCUAAUAAUCGAAAGGAUUCAAAAUCAAUAAUUUUUAACGGCCAAAAAUAAAAAUUCAAUAAAAAGUGGUGAUAUAGCACUAAAAUUUUCUAUCAGAAAUAUUGAUCUUGUUGUAGAUAGUAUAAAGAAUUUUGUAUCAAAAUUUCAUCUAAUUUGAAUACUUCUACACCGUCAAAUUUAAAAACGGCAGAUAUCAAACAUUAAAAAUUUAUUAAUUUUGAAUCCUUUCGAUCACUAGGUAAAUAAUAUAAAAAAAUCGCAAAAACUAUUUUCUAAAACCUUCAAAUACGCUAGAUCAAUUCUAAUGGAGCUGAUCGACGAUUCAAAAAUUCUAUUAUCGAAAACGGCUCAGGAGCAUGGAGGCCUCCAUGCUCCUGAGAGGACAGCAGCCCUACUCAUAUAUAUAUAUACCUAUAAUUAUAUUAUAUAUAGUAUAUAUAUAUAUAUAUAUAUAUAUAUAUAAUAUAUAUAGUAUAUAUAUUCUAUAUAUUAUAUAAGUCGCGCUACUAUACCUUAUAAUACGAUGCACUCACGUACCAUAAAUUGUUUUCGAAUGAUAGGCGUCCAAAUCGCGACGACCACUUCCGUAAAUGUUAUUCUAGAGCAUUUGAAUACUCUAAAAAAAUCAAAUUUCAUAAUUUUUCGACAUCAUUUACCUUACGAUCAAAAGCUCACAAAAUUGACAAUUUUUAACGACCGGUAUAGAAUACUUGCUAGUUUAACGGUGCAAAAGAAUCCGAAUAGGUUGAAUUUUUGAUAAAAAAUUCUAUUUACUACCUAGAUAAAGAUCAAUAACUCCGAUCUUAAAUUGAAGGAUCCGAUCAUCCAUUUUUAAGACAUCGUUCAAUUUCAACAGUUCAUUUUAUGCCCGCUUGAUGGACUUUAUUAUAAUUUCGAAAAAUUACAAAAUUUAUUUUUUAGAAGUUUCAAAUACUCUAGAUCAUAUUUAACGGAGUUAAUCGUCGAUUCGGAAGCUCUAUCAUCGAAAACAACUUAUCAGUACGAAGGGCCCAAUACUCAUAAUAGUAUAGUAGCCCUACUAUAUAUAUAUAUAGGGAAAACUUCAAGAAACCCCCCUGUGGUUUCAUAGUUUCUCACUUUGCCCCCUGUGGUUUAAAAUGUAUCAAAUUGCUCUCCUGUGAUUUUGUUUUUAUCUUUUCGUUAGCUUUUUCGUUAAUAUUUCUUUAAAUUAUAUACAAAAAACUCUAGAUACUCAUCUAGAUUUAUCAAAUAUUCACUUUAGUACCCUUUAAUUUUAACUUUAUCACUGAUUUAAGAAAAAAAUAAUGAAAUUGAUAAGAAAAAAAAAAAAAAAGAAACCACAGGGGGGCAAAUUGAUACAUUUUAAACCACAGGGGGACAAAGUGAGAAACUACGAAACCACAUGGAGGGUUUUUGAAGUUUUCCUAUAUAUAUAUAUAUAUAUAUAUAUAUCGCUAGGGCUACUUUACUCUUAUGAGUAUUAGCCCAUUUGUACUCAUAAGUUUUUCAUCAUUGGAAGAAGGGAUGUGCGGUUUUGGAUGACCCUAAGGUUGGCUGGGCGGUUGGUUGGUUGAAUAUUAUAAUCUAGCAGGUAGAAAUAGUAAAAAGGAUAAAUCUAACGGACUAAAACUUAUGAAUACAAAAGGAUCUUUACUUAUAAGAGUAUAGUAGCUGAACUCUCUCUCUCUCUAUAUAUAGUGAGAGUGAGAGUUUGGCUACUAUACUCUUAUGAGUACGAUCGCCUUCGUACUCAUAACUCGUUAUCAAUGAUAGAACUUUCGAAUCGACGAUUCAUGCCGUUAAACAUUAUACAGAGUAUUUAAAACUUUUAGUAAUUAAAUUUUAUAAUUUUUUAUCAUAAUUUACCUCACGAUCAAAAGAUCUCAAAAUUAAUAAUUUUUAACGGCCGGUAUGAGAUACUUGCUAUUUUAACAGUGUAAAAAAACCGAAAUCAAUUGAAUUUGUGAUAAAAAAUUCUAUUCACUAUCUAGAUAAAGAUCAAUAACUUCGAUCUUAUAUUGAAGGAUCCGAUCAUUCAUUUCUAAGACGCCGUUUCAUUUUGACCGAAAAAUGAAAUUUAGUUUGCAAAUACUUUCAAUAGUGUAGAUCAAGUCUAAUGGAGCCGAUCGUCGAUUCGGAAGCAGCAUCAUAGAAAACAACUUGGUAGGACGGAGGCGUCCGUGCUACCAAUAGUAUAGCAGCCUAGCUCUCUCUCUCUAUAUAUUUAAAUAUAUGAAAUUACGGAAUGAUAAGAUAUUUAAAAUUUCGUACUACUUCAAUUGAAUGUGGCUUAAAGAUUAGCACUAGAAGGGAAAUGAAAACGAAACGUUCGGUGUUGACGCAAAUAUCAUUAUUUUGUAAUAGAAUCAAGAGAUAGUUGAAAGAAGAAAAACAGCCGAAGAAUAAUUAAUUAAAUUCUCCAAGCUGUAUAUUAGUGCCCAGAACAGAGAUCUUGCCUGAACUUGGACUACCAGGUCGGCUGUGGACCGGAAGCCCAUCUAGCCUUCAUUCCAAAUUAUCAGUAUCCAGUAAAAAUUAUUAAACAAAAAUCAGAUUUUCUUUUUUUGAAGAUGAGAAUUGAAACCCGUAAUUUAAUAAACAUCAGCAUUUUGAAAUCAAAGUUUCCUUUUUUUUUUUGGAAGGUGUGGAUUGAAAAGAAAGACGCAACGAAGCGAUGUUUAUAAGGCGGUCCACCACUGACCUGGUGCACCAGGUGGACGCAACAAAAGCUCAAGCGAGGUACUUUAGCCCCAUAUCGACUGCAGCGAAGAACGGAAGAGGCAAGGAGAGUACAAGAAGAGGCCUCGUCCGUGAUUCAAACUCAUACCUUUCUCGGCCUUUUGGCUAAGAUCAAGUGUAGUAUCUGUUCUUAUCAGUUUAAUAUCUGAUAUGUGGGCCAUGCGCCCACCUCGAUAUUAAAUUAAUUUUUUGUGGGGGAGGGCCCAUCCACGGUAGCUUGCUACCGGGGCCUUCGCGCGUCGCCCUUGCGUUGCACUACUGUUUGGGCCUGGCGCACCCCUACCAAUUCUUAACAGCAAAAUGUUUUUAAUUUAUUACUUGCUUGCUGGGCUUGCGUACAAAGGAAGAAUGGUGAAAAUUAUUCUUCAAUUUUUUUUUUUUGUAUAAAUCUGGAAAGGCCCAUUUUUGGAAUCUGAAUAGAAAAAUUAUUUAUACACAAGAUCAAAACUAUAGCGAUAAUUCAUUUUCCUCUUAACUUCCUCUCGAUAAUGUGUGAAACAGUUGGCAAUGACAUAAUAAAAUAGUAAGAAAUAAAAAUACAGUCAGAGGCUACAAUAUUCAGAGAAUCGGAUUUAUAUGCAAACCUCCUAUGGUUGUCAAGUUACGGGCUAAGAGGUAUAGGUAGGAACGCAAAUGGGGCGGGUCCGGAGGCUGGAGUCCCCUCUCGCGUCUCUCAUGUCCCUUCCCAAGUAUCUCCCACCCCGAAUAUGUGAUGGGUUAAGAAAUAUAUCCCAUAAUUCGUUCCGCCUCAUAAUCCAUUUUCUAUCGGCGCUCCGAAUCUUCUCUGCCAAUUAAUAUUUUUUUAAAAAAAUUAUAAUAUUAUUAAUAUUUUAUAAAAUAUAAAUUAAUAUUUUUUUAAUAAUAAUUAUAAUAUUACUAAGUUAUGUAUAUAAUAUUAAUAAUAUCAAUUAUAAAAAGCAAAAUUCAAGUUUUAGACACAUGAGAAAUGAGAGCACCAACUUAUUUGUAUUUUGGACUUUUUUUGUAAAUAUAUUAUUUUUUAGGAAUAUUUUUAAAAUAUAAAUAAUUUUUGGAGUGGAUUCCGAGUGAAUCAUGGCACUGCAGAUUCGGGCCGGGGCAAAUUUUUUUUCGUUUCCUACCCCAAAUCUGUUUCGGACCAUAAAAAUUACUCCGUUUUCUGUCCCGAAUCCGUUUAUUUAUUUCUGUUUAUUGCCCCAUUCGGGAAGGAUCGGGACGGACGCUCUACCAACCAGGAUCUGUUUGCAUUGCCAAUAGAGCGGAGAGCUGGUAGUCACACUUAGGAAAACCAUAAUGCAACCAGACAACCUUAAAUGAACCCAGGACACUGUUGGUUCAAUACGGUAAUAUAAUAUUGGAUUAUAGUAUAUGUAGGAUUACUAGAGUUGGUUCGUUUUAAAAUUCGGUAAUCAAGACAAUAAAGUGUAUUUUAUUCCAAAAUUAUCAUUUAUGAUCAUAUUUAAUAUUAUUUUUUAAUAAACUUAAAUUAAUAUAAUUUGUACUUGAUUAAUUUUAUUAAUAAGCAAAUAUAAGUAGAGGUGGAACUGGGCCCGGGCCUAAACAAGGCCCGGCCCGAUGGGCCAUGUUUGGGCCGGACUUUGGGUAUUAAAAAUAUAACUUGUGGUUCGGGCCGGGUUUAAAAAUUUUGGCCCGAAAAAAUUUAGGCCUAUUUGGGCAUGUCCAAGCCCGGCCCGAGCCCGACCCAAAAGCCCAAUAUAUUAAUUAUCCAAAUAAAAUAUUUAAUUAUAUANGUUCGGGCCGGUCUUACAAAUUUUGGCCCGAAAAAAUUUUGGGCUUAUUUGGGCAUGUCCAAGCCCGGCCCGAGCCAGACCCAUAAGCCCGAUAUAUUAAUUAUCAAAAUAAAAUAUUUAUAUAUAUAUAUAUAUUAUUUAUCUAUUAAAAGAAAUAAAUGGUAUAGUAUAUCAUAUAUAGUAUAUAUUGUUAUUAAUGAUAUGUACUUAUAUAUAUGAGGAUAUAUUAUAUAUCAACAAAAUAUUUAGUUUUAUAUUAGGAUAUAUUUGUUAUUAGAUAUUAAUUUCUUUGAUGUGAUAAAACUAAAAAUAGGUAUUUUAUUUUAAUUUUAUACAAAUAAAAGUAUUUAUGUAUUAUAUGAUACAUGCAUAAAAUGGGCCUCCACAAAGCCCGCUGGGUAUUGGGCAUUGGGCUUGGGCUUAGGCCGGGCCAUCAUUUUCAAAAAAAUUAGGUAAACGCCCGACCCAAAGCCCAACAUUUUUAUUUGGGCCGGGUUUGGGCAUAGUAUUACCCUACCCAAAUCCGGCCCUGUUCCACCCCUAAAUAUAAGACAUAAAUAAAAAAACCGCACAUGAAAACAAUUUAUAAAGCCAAAUUGGUUUUAACCCAUAGAAGAAUAAAUUAAAAAAUAUCAUAUUACAUAAUAAUAUGAUCAUACAAGAACAAGUACAUUUUAGUUUAAAAAACUAAAAUUUUAUUUAUAAGCAAUAUCAUUAACCAAAUAUCUUAAGAAAAUCUCGCUCCAGCCCAGCUCAUUAAAAGACCCAUUUUUCUUAAAAGAUCCACCCCAUGUACAAAAGCCCACCAUUUCAAUCUGAUUCCUUUUAUUGUUUCUUGUCUCGGGUAGUGCCGAAUUCCCAUUUUUAUCAACUUUUUGACCCCAAUUCCUCAAACUAGGAUGAGGGCCUUCUUUAUAUAUAUAUANAGAUAUCCAAAUCAAUUGAAUUUUUAUUAGAAAAUUCUUUAAACUAUUGAAAACAAGAUCUAUACUCUUGAUCUUGAUUACAAGACUCCUAUCAUCAUUUUUUAAAAAAUAUUCAUUUUUAGCCGUUCAUUUUUAUGUCCACUCAAUGGAUAAGAGAACAAUAUCGAAAAUAUAUGAAAUUUGAUUUCUAAAUACUUCAAAUGGUAUAGAUCAUGUUCAACGAUGCCGAUCGUCGAUUUGGAGGCUCCAUUAUCGAAAAUAAAUGGGUGGCAAAAGUGCCAGUUUGCUAUCGAUAGUAUUCUAGCUCAACUCUAUAUAUAUAUAUAUAUAUAUUGAGAGAUUAGGUAGCACGCUACCCGCUUCGUUUAUUUUAUUUAGAAAUAAACUUAGCUAGAAAUAUGAAUCAACUAGGAUUUGAACUUGGAACCUCCAGUACCAACCACCAAGCUCUUUGCCACUUGCUCUAGGGACGGUCAGUAUGAGGGCCUUCUUUAUAGAUCUUUGGAUUUGGCGAUUUGGGCAAAAUUUGUUGUUUUUGUGUUCUCUUGGGUAUUUUUACAAACACCUAAUGUGCAAGGAUCUGCUGUUUUGAUGGAAUUUAAUAAUUUAGGGGUGUAAUGUGAGUCGUGCUGUGCCCCGUGCGGAUUCAGCCUAGGGUUGGCUCGGUUACAAAUCCUGGCCAACCCGUGCCAGCCCGCUUUCUCAGAGAAGAAGGCCUAGCCCGGCCGCUUGGACUGCCCGGCACGUGCUAUGCCGGGCCAAGCCGGGCUUCGUGCUAGCCCAGUAAAAAGUUUUUUUUUUAAUUUCUUCCCAACCGUCUUUUGUUAAAUUUUUUUUUAAUUUUUUUUUAGUAAAAAGAGAUAACUAAUUUUUAAAUUAUACCUUCUCGAUUUUUUUUUAUUUACACAAUUAUACCCAAAUUUUUUUUAAACUCUUGUAAUAAUUUUAUAAAUUUUAAAAAAAGCUAAAAUACUAACCAUAAAUUUAACAUUUUUAAUAUCAUUAAUUUUUAAUAUUAUAUAAAAUUUAAAACAUAGAGAUCAAUAAUUUUAACUUUUCAAAUAUAUUAGAUGUUUUAAUAUAAAUUUUUUAAAUUAGGUUUCGUUUAGGAUUGUGGGAAAAUUGUACUACAUGCGGUGAGAAAGUACGAUGAAAAAAUAUUCUAUUUGUUUCCGUGCGUAAUAUUGCAUUCUGCAUAUGGCAAUGAGUCGGUUAUGAUAUAUUUUUUGCGGCCCCACUAGAGAACGCAGAAGCAUAUUCUUAAAUGCUUUAUCCCGACUCAAUUUUAUCUAAUAAUAUUAUAUGGACUUUAAUACAAAACUAAGCCUUACAUUUCUGUGAUCCAAUAACCAACUUUAAUAUAAAAUUUUUAAUAUAAGAUUAAAUAUUUUGUUGAGAUUGAAACUUUUGUUAAAAAAAAAGUUGUUGAAAAGAUUAAAAAAAUUUGCAAAGCUAACUUGAGGAAAAAAAAUUUUAGAUUGAAAGUUUGAGAGUAGGAAGAAUUAGUGUUUGGGGAAGAAAUGAACGAAGAGUUGUUUGUUGAAAUGAAUUUGAAAAUUUGUAAAAGCAUUUAUAGAUGUAAAAAAAUUUUAAAUUUUUUUUAAAAAAUAGAAAAUAUUUUUGACCAAAAUGUCCUAUCUAACGGUCAAAAUUUUGAAUGCUAGUAAAGGCAUUAUGGUCAUUUUCAGCAAAAAGAUGUCUUUUUUAAUAUUUUUAUCUUUUUUUCAAAAAAAAAUAAUUUUCAUAUAUAUAUAUAUAUAGGCAGGACUGCUGUGCUCUCAGGAGCCGUUUUCGAUGAUGGAAUGUCCAAAUCGACGAUCAGCUCUGUUAGACUUGAUCUAACGUAUUUGAAGAUUCUAGAAAAUAAUUUUUUGCGAUUUUUCGAUAUCAUUUACUUAGCAAUCGAAAGGAUUCAAAAUCAAUAAUUUUUAACGGCUGAAAAUAAAAAUCCUAUAAAACGUGGUGAUAUAGCACUAAAAUUUUCGAUCAGAAAUAUUGAUCUUGUUAUAGAUAGUAUAAAGAAUUUUGUAUCAAAAUUUCAUCUGAUUUGAAUACUUUUACACCGUUAAACUUGAAAACGGUAGAUAUCAACCAUUAAAAAUUAUUGAUUUUGAAUCCUUUCGAUCACUAGGUAAAUGAUAUCAAAAAAUCGCAAAAAUUAUUUUCUAGAAUCUUCAAAUACGCUAGAUCAAGUCUAACGGAGCCGAUCGUCGAUUUGGAAAUUCCAUCAUCGAAAACGGCUCAGGAGCACAGCAGCCCUGCUAUAUAUAUAUAUAUAUAUAUAUAUAUAUAUAUAUAUAUAUAUAUAUAGAGAGAGAGAGAGAGAGAGAGAGAGAGAGAGAGAGAGGGAGAGAGAGAGUUGAGCCGGAAUGUUACCAAUAGCAAACUGGUUUUAUUGCCAUCCAUUUGUUUUCCAUAAUAGAGCCUCUAAAUCGAUGAUCGGCACCGUUGAACAUAAUCUAUACCACUUGAAGUAUUUAGAAAUUAAAUUUCAUAUUUUUCUGAUAUUAUUUUUUGUCCAUCAAGUGAACACAAAAAUGAAUGGCUGAAAUAAAUAUCUUUUAAAAAGUGAUGAUAGGAGUCUUCUAAUCAAGAUCAAGAAUAUAAAUCUUGUUCUAAAUAGUUUAAACAAUUUUCUAACCAAAAUUCAAUUAAUUUGGAUAUCUUUAUACCGUUAAAUGAGAAAACAUCUUAGAUCGACAACUAAAAUUAUAAAUUUUGAGACCUUUUAAUAAUCUGACCAAUAAUGUCGAAAAAAUUAGAAAUUUGGUUUCUAGAUUUUUUAAGUGGUAUAGACCAUAUUCAAUGGUACCGGUCGUCAAUUUGAAGGCUUCAUCAUCAAAAUAAAUAGAUAGCAACGGAACUCAUUUGUUACUAAUAGCAUUCAAGCUCAACUCUCUAUCUCUUUCUCUAUAUAUAUAUACUAGUUGUAAUGCACGUGCGAUGCACGUCAUAUUUAAUUAAAUUAAGUUUAUAUUUAUAUUUUAAAUUUAAAUAAUUAUUGGUGGUAUAUAUCUAUUUAUCAAUUAAAUUUUUUUUAACUUUAAUUUUUUUAAUGUGUAUCCAAAUUUAUAUAUAUGAAAAUUGGAUUUUUGAAAAUCUGAUUACUGUUAUUCAAAUUACUGUUAUUCAGUAAAAAUCAGUAUAUGAAAAUCGGAUUUUUUUUUUUUUUUCGAUGGUCAGGAUUGAAAACCGUAAUUCAGUAAGUAUCAUUGUUUUGAAACCAGGUUUUCUUUUUUUCUUUUUAAUAGAAGUGGAGAUUUAAAAAAGAAGGUACAAUGAAGUAGAUAUGGUUAAUAGGAGGGUGGUCCACUUUGACCUGGUGCACCAGGUCAAAGUAUGAAUUCAAGCCAGGUAUUUUAGUCCCAUAUCGACUGCAGCGAAGAACGGAAGAGGCAAGGAGAGUACAAGAGGAGGCCUCGGUGCGUGAUUUAAACUCAUACCUUUCUCGGCCUUUUGGCUAAGAUCAAGUGUAGUAUCUGUUCUUAUCAGUUUAAUAUCUGAUACGUGAGCCAUGUGCUCACCUCGAUAUUAAAUUAAUUUUUUGUGUGGGAGGGCCCAUCCACGGUAGCUUGCUACCGGGGCCCUCGCGCGUCGCCCUUGCGUUGCACUACUGCUCGGGCCUGGCGCACCCCUACCAAGUCUAAACGCUCAAAUAUUUUUAGUUCAUUCACUAAGCUUAAACAUUAUUUUUCAAAUAGUUUUUUUUGUAUAAAAAACAUAAUUUCUGUAGUUUUUUGUCUUUGCCUUUUUAUUAAUCUGAAUAGAACAACUACUUAGUUUUUCGUGAAUUUUUUUAAAACCAAACACUCUCUGAAAGCUUUUUUGAGUUUUGAGAUCUUUGCUAAGGAAUUGUUUGAUUUCUAAAAAAAUAUAUAAAAAAAAUUUAUUUAAAAAUAAUAUUUUUUUUAGAUUUCACUGUUCGGUUUCAAGAAAAACUUUCUUUUUUGAAAAUUUUUUAUAUUUCAUGUAAAAUUAGUAUUUUUAUUUUUCAAAAGAAAAUCAGAAAAUCAAAAAAAUUAUUUUCAUAAAGUUUAAUUUCUUACCACCAAGCGAGCAAAAAAUAAAACAAAUUUUUUUUUUCAAAAUUUUUCUUUAAUAUUUACACCGGCCCAUUUAAAUCUAGCCAUUCAUUUUUUAAGGUUAUGAUUGACUUUACAUAGUAAUAACCUGCUUAAUUGGUUACCAAUCAAAGAUCAAUCGUAAGAAUAAUGUUAGAAAAUACAUACUAAUCAAUUAUCAAGUUUGAUAAAAUCUAACCAAUCUUUCUUUCCUUAUUUAAUAUUGUUACUUAAUUACCAAAUUAAAUAGUGGCUAAUUUGAUAAGUAAUGCAUGUUCAUAAAUUUGAAUUCAAAAUUAACUUAGGUUUUAACUUUAUUUUUAUAAUUGUAUAAAUUAAUUCAAAUUUAAAUUUUAAAUUUAAUUUUUAGAAAGAAAAAAUUUAUAUUUAAAUGUGUAAAAAAUUUCAAUUCAAAUUGUUAAUUCAAUAUUAAAAUAACAUGAAAGUUCAAAAAUAUUAAUCUAUUUUAAAUUAUAAUUAAAGUGAUAUUGUACUUAUAAACCCAACUUUUAUUAUUUAUUUAAAUAAAAGGUUUCUAUUUUUUAAAUUAAAUUCAAACUGUUAAUUCAAUAUUAAAAGCAACAUUAAAAUUCAAAAAUAUUGAUCAAAUUUAAAUUUUAAAUUUAGAUUUAAUUUAAUUAUAGUUAAAAAAUAAAUUUUAUUAAUCCAUAAUGCAACGGUGUAACAUUUAUACAUGGAGAAGGAAGGGGAUGGAUUCCUUGCCCAUUCCUCCCUGAAACCUUUGCCGCCAUACGAUGUCGCCAAUGCCCUAAAAUCGACACCGUAGCACCACAAUAUUGAGAGAAGAAAGAUGAUUAAUUAUUUAAAAAAUUAUUACGUAUAGAUUUGCUGUUACUUAAAAACUGCAAACAGAUUUAAAUAUGAGUUUGGAGGAACAUAAAAUGUUCUAGAGGGAGAAUUUACAAAAACCCCCUUGCUAACUUAACAUAAUGAAAAAGAGCCCUUACUAUCGAUACCCAAUGAUCGGUACCGAUGGAAACAAUAGCCGGUCACCCCAUUUCAAAAAACUCAUCACAACAGUCCAUCUUGAAUAAUUUAAUGGUGCGUUUGAUUCGUGCUAUCUUUUAAAGAUUCCUAAUAAUCCAAUAGGAAUAAAAAAAAUAUGACGGUGUUUGGCUAAACGCACUAAGUAAUCUAGUUGGUAAUAUUGGAUUUAUUUGGGAAUAAGAUUCAUCCCAAAAUACUAAUCUCAUUCCCUUGAGUGAGGGUGGGUAUCCUCAUAUUAAUGAAUUGGGGUAAUCAUAAUAUGUUUAAUCUCUUUCUUUCUUCCUACCCGCCGGCUAAUUGGUAUUAUUUUUCUUUACAUUCUAACCUUAUAUCUCUCUCUAAACUCAUUUUUCUCUCUAAAAUUCAACUCUUUUUCUCUCUCUAAACUAAGCUUUCUCUUUCCCUCUUUUUCUAAAAUUUCAACUCUCUCACUCCCUCUAAUUUCGACUUUAUUUCUCUUUCUUUUUUUUUUAAUUAUGCUCUCUUUUUCUAAUCUAUGCUCUCUCUUCCUUUUUUCUAAGAAGAUGUUGAAUUUUUGGUAGCAUUAUCUAAAAUUAAUUAAAAAAAUAAAUAAAUUAAUUGUAUAUUUUUUGUAAUCUUAAAUAAUAUGGCUAAAUAAUAUGACUGUGCGAACCAAACACAGGAAUUCCACAUUUUUAGUAAUAUGAUGAACAGGAAUAAAAUUCUCGGAUAUCUUUUCAUUCCGAAUAAUCUUUCAUAAUGCGAACCAACCGCACCGGUUAAGAUUACUUGGUGUAUAGAAGAACUAUUGCUGUUUUAUGAAAACCAAACAAAUAGUGUUUGGGCAAAAUAUAAAAAAAAAAUUAUCUUAUAUUUUUUAAUGAGACCGUAGUAAUUGGUUAUAUAUACAAAAAGCUAACAUAAUUUUUUUCUAAUUGGACGAACAUAAUUUUUUUUUUCAUCAGUCUAAUUUUAUUUGCUACAAGGAAAGCAUUAAAUCUGAUCAAAUUUAUUAUAAUUUUUAUUAUAGUGAUUGAAAUUUGGAACCUUGCCUACGACCAACCAAUCAUUUGCCAAAUGCUUUAGGGAUAGUCAAUAUAUUUUAUGAUUUAUUGUGUUUUCUAUAUUGUGAAUACAUUGGAUGAUUUACAUUUGAGUUGACUAUAACUAUUGAAGAAAAUAAUUUGAAACAAGAAAAAAAAACUUAUUUAUGUAAUUUUAUUUUAUUAUUUUUUAAAAAAAUUUAUGUAAUUUCACUACAUAAAGAAAGCGAUAAAAUUUGCAAAAUACAGUUUUCAACUGCACAUAACAUAACUAUAUAUAACUAAACAUAUCAUUUGUAGUUGUAAUAUUUUUUGCUACAUCAAACUAAAUAAAAUAUAUAGCUGGUAUAUUUUAAACUUGUAUGCAACUCAAACUGCACUAUUUGUAGUUGCUUGAAACUAGGGGUGUAACGGCCGACAAGGCCCACAUUUUCUGGGCCGAAACGGCCUAGUGGCCGGCCCGGCCCGGCCCGUCUUCAAUUUCGGGCUAUGCUGGGCCGGGCCCGAGCUGCCUAGCCUCUGGCUCGACACGGCCCAUAUGCCCGAAAGGCACGGGCCGGGCUGUGCUUUGGGCCGGCCUUUUAAAAUAUUUAUUUUUAAAUUUUUUUAAAAAAAUUAUAGUUUAAAUUUAAUUAAAUCAAAAAUUUAUAAAAAUAAUUAUAAUAUAGUAAAUAUUAGUUUUUAAAAAUUAAAUAAAAUUUGUUUAUUUUUUUUGAAAAAAAAAAGAAAUUUCAACGUAGAGCACCGGGUUUCUGGGGAGGUGGGGGUUUCCGAGGAUGAGAGAGUCUCGGAGGGGGGGCUGGAGGAAGAUAGAGGGGGCGCUGGGGGGAGGGGGGGGGGCGAGGACGUCAAGGAGGUGGAGGGGGACGGCCGGACGGGGUAAGGGCCUUGGAGUUGGGGACCGGAGCUGAGACCUUAGGUGCUGAAGAGGGGGCCAAGGGGGGCGGCGUGGGGGCGAUGGGAGGCGGCGCGGGGUCUUGUGGGCCGGUCCCGGGGCCGCGGGCGGGGGCGCCGCAGGAGGCGCCAUUGGCGCCUCUCCUCUCAAGGUCUAACCUUGGGAGGAGCAUGAGGGCAAGGCCCCAAGGCCCAAGGCGCCUUGGGCCUUGGGAGUUCCAGGCCGUGCUGGCUCGAUUGGCACGGCCCAAGCGGGCCGUGCCAUGCUGGGCCGUCCGCCUCUCCUCCGUCGGGCCACAGAGGAGCAGCCCAGCACGGCCCAGAGGCUCAAGCCAGGCCGGCCCGGCAUGGGUGCUACAAUACCCGUGCCGUGCUGUAGUCCAGCCCGAGACCGCGCCGGGCCGAGCGGCGCUACUUGAAACUAUUUAGCUUUAUGCAAAUGCUAUUGGGUAGUUCUGCAUAAAAUAGGCCCAAUAAGUUUGUUUUGGAUGACUAUGUUUGUCAUUUUGUAAAAAUAAAUUCCGAAUUUUAGGAUGGUAUCCUCAUUUUAUUAUGGUAGUGUAUGAUUUAAUUAUCUUUCACUUCUCUCUGCUGGUGAAAUGAUGAGUAAGAUGCGAUAAUAUAGGAGGAGCUAAAAUGCUUCUUAUCUCCCUCAAAUUUUAUUCUGAAAUUGUAAUUCUUCUUUUAUAUCUUUUAUUAGUUUUUCCUUAAUGAAGGAAAUCAAAUUUAUAGUUUUUUAUUCAACAUGCAUGCUUCAUUUUUGUCUAUACUAUUAUAUUGGAAAGGUAAUGCAAUUAAUGAAACUAAUUUGAUAUUAAAUAGAUUUAUUAAAUCUGAUCAUUAUUCCCUGUUGAAUCUGAUCAGGUUUAAUAAACAUGCUUUGUUUCUUCUAAAAUUGGAUCUAUUAAUAUCCCUUUCGUACUCAAAAUUAUCAGUAAGUUGAAAACACAAUUAAUUUUUAAUCAACAUUAAAGUAUGGAGCAUGACUUUUUCAACUUGAAUUGUGAUUUAAAGAUUAGCACCAGCAGGGAAAAUUUUUUUGAAAAAAGGUUUAGUGUUAAUGUUGGAUAUCAUAUGCCAUAUUUGAAGCAAGGGACACUGCCCAUAAUUGUGAAAAAGCAUGAUCCAAUUGUAUUAAGGGCGUUUGAUUUUUUUUUUAUUUUUUUUAUUUUUUUGAGAAAUAGGUAGCAAGCUACUUGCUUCAUUCAUUAAGUAAAAUGAAUUAGUCAUACAUGAUGGAAGCAACUAGGGCCUCCUAACCGCGCCAACAAAACAGAAAAACAGAAAAAAAAAGAAGAAAAAAAGGCAAAAAGCAGGUCCGUAAAACGAGAAAUGUAAAACCGAACAAACUGAGGAAAACCGAGGAAAACAUGGGUAAAAGAGCGAAGUGAUUGAGACUAGAGUUAUAGCGCGGAUUCAAAUAACGUCGGCCUAGUCCUUGAUCAAAGCCGCGACUUGUUCGAGAGCCCGGGAGGUGUUGGGAGACCCAUCGUGGAAGAUGAUCUUAUUUCGCUCCGUCCAAAUGACCCACCAGAUUGCCGCCAGCUGGGUCAGACUAUUCGAUCUCAUUCUGGUGUUAUGGUUGUCGGAGAUCUAUGUCCAUAACCGCCGAACAUCCCCCGUGUCCAAAUCGGCCGCCACAGAAACUCCAGCGUGGAUUCGGAGAUAUCUGAUGAAGAUACAUGCACCGAAUAGGUGGUCGCAGGUUUCAGGUAGUGACCCACACAACAUGCAAUGCUGGUCCACCGGACUCCCUCGGCGAAUCAAUCUGUCCGCUGUUAGUAAUCUCUUGCGCAAUAGGAUCCAAAUGAAAAACUUUUGCUUAAGCGGGAUUUUUAACCUCCAAAGAUGAGCGUACAAAGGAUCAAUCUACCCUGUGUCUGUGACGAAAUCAUAAAGGGAUUUAACGGUAAAAUUUUGAUUGGCGGUCCAUCGCCACUUUAGUUUAUCAUUUGUGCCCGAUGGACUAUACUGAUUGAGGAGGUUUUUGAGCCGAGCGACGUGAUAUGUUGACGAUUCUGAGAGGUGGUAUUUGUAGUGAGGCCUCUGGUUAUGAAACGCCAUCUCCACCCUCUUACAUUCCAGCAUUGUGAAACUGUGGCCUCCUGAUUGAUGAUUCUACAAAAUAAUCCUGGAAACUGGGUACUAAGAGGGGUUUCUUCGAUCCAAAUAUCCGACCACCACCUGAUGUUUUUGCCGCCUCCAAGUGCGUACGAGACUCUGCAUUUGAACAUGUCACGACAGCUCAUCACACUUCUCCACCACUGCGAGUAAGGUCUAAAGGAUCUUCUCUCAUGUAACGGCCUUCUUCUGGUGUAAUAUAAUGCUGUGAUCAAUCUUCCCCAUAAAAGAUGUCUCUCAUUGAAAAAACGCCACCACCAUUUAGUUAGGAGUGCCUUAUUCAUUGCUUCCAUAUCUUUAAUCCCCAGACUCCCUUCUCUUUUGCUUUUACAUAUUGUUUUCCAACCAACUAGGCAUGAACCACCUGAAAUUUUAGAGCCCCCUUUUCAAAAGAAGGCUCGUCUAAGGGAUUCUAUGCGGUUCAGGACCCAUUGCAGCGCUUUGAAAAUAGCGAAGUAGAACAGCAGGAGAUUCGAAAGUACCGAGUUGACUAGGAUAAUUCUUCCUCCAUGUGAAAGUAGUUUUGCCUUCUAUCCUUCAAUGCGCAUCUCUAUACUGUUAAUGAUCGGAGCCCAAUCUUCUUUACGGAGGUGUUUGAUAUGUAGCAGUAAGCCUAAGUAGCGAAACGGUAGAUUACCUACUCUACAUCCCAAAAUAUCUUAAGGCCAGAGGACCAUUCAAACAUCUUCCAGAGAAACAGUAGGUUACGCAUGGCGGACUUUUUGGGCUCGGAGAAGAAUAAUGUAUCAUCCUCAUAUUGAAGGAUCGCAGUUUGACAAUCGACGGUUGGUCCAAUUCCCUGAAUCAAGUUAUUUCCCCUAGCUGCUUCCGUGAUCCUAGCCAAACAGUCGGCGACCAAUAAGAAUAGAUAGGGGGAGAGCAGGUCCCCUUGUCUCAGCCCCUUCCUUGUUUUCAUCCACCUUGUUGGUUCACCAUUUACUAAAAUAGCGAUUUUAGCAUUGCAGAUACACUGUUCAAUCCAGUUCCACCAUUUCUUGCUGAACCCAAGCCACCGUAGUAUGCUUUGCAGGAAGCUCCAUCUCACAUUGUCGUAAGCUUUCUCAAAAUCCACCUUAAUGCUGGCACACUUAUUCUUGGAUUUUGCACACCAGUUGAGUAAUUUGCUUGCUAUGACGAAAUAGUCAGCUAAUACUCGAUCCUUCAGGAAAGCCGAUUGUGACGAAGAGAUAAUCGUUGGCAAAAUGGUUGCGAUUCUAUUUGCGAGUACUUUAGAAAUGAUCUUUCGAAUUCCGUUCAUUAGGCAAAUCGGUCGAAAGUCGUUAGCCUGGCAUGCUCCUUCCUUUUUGGGAAUUAAUUAAACAGACGUAAGAGUAGUCUGUUGGGGCCGUGAAGAGGUUGUUCUCCUGGAGGUCUGUGAAGAUGUUAAAUAUGUUAUCCUUGACCGUCUCCCAAAAAUGUUGCAAAAAAAUAAGCAGGAAGCCAUCGGGACCGGGUGCCUUUUCACUACCCAGUUGAAAGGUAGCCUUUUUAACUUCGUCUAUAGUAAAUGGUCCCGUAAGGGAAUCCGGGUCGGAAAAGGAGUCCGCUCGAUACAGGUCGGCCCAAUCUCCAAAAGAAACAUGCUCUUCUUUCGCUCUCCCAACAAAUGUUUGAAGGAGUAAACAAAAUAGGAUUUCUUCUGAGCUUCAUUGUUGAUUUGUCUUCCAUUAUCAUCUACAAUAUGCUUUAUCUCGUUGCUACACUUCCGACCGUUGGCCACUGCGUGGAAAAAUUUUGUAUUACAAUCGCCUUCUUAAGCCAGUGCUGCUUUCGCUCUCGUUUUCCAUAGGAUUUCUUCCUCCUUUAGAAUGAGCUGGAGUUGAGUUUUAAGGUUGACCCGUUUAUCUCGUACCUCCGGAGGCAGUGUAUUCCGUUCCUCUAAUAGGUCGAUGCCGCAUAUUUCCUCCUAUAUACUCCUUAUCGCGUUGGCAAUGUCGCGUAUUUCCUCCUGUAUCCUCCUUAUCGCGUUGGAUAUACUAUGAAAUUUCGUCUUACACCAUUCUUUCAUCUUGUUUCUGCAGUGCCUCAGUUUAGCCGUUAGAGUGAGGAUUGCUGACCUCUCACUGGUUACUUCGUUCCACCAGAUUGGUACGCUGUUUGAGAAGUCCUCCCUAGAGAGCCAAACUCUCUCGAACCGAAAUUUCCGCGUAGUGUGAAUACCCCCUGAAUUGAGGAUUAGCGGUGUAUGAUCGGAUGUGAUUCUAGGUAGCGCUGAAACCCUGCAGUGAGGGAAAGCUUGGUCCCACUCCGUCGUGAUUAAAAAUCUGUCUAGCUUGGCCAGGGUCGGCGAGUGUUGCAUGUUUGACCAAGUAAAAUAUUGGUUGGAAAUGGGCAGAUCUAUGACUGCGAGAUUCGCGAUGAGAUCGGAGAACAUGGUCAUCGCUCUUGUGCUCCAUGUAUUCCCGAUACGUUCGAGCUAGUUUCUAGUAAAAUUGAAGUCCCCACAAAUAGCCCACUUUGAGUUAGAGCAAAUCGCACUGAGAGAAAGGAGUUCAGAACAGAAUUCUUCUUUCCCUUUCCAUGUCGGUGGUCCUACACGUUCGAAAGGUAAAAGCUCCUUCCGCUGGUGACAUGUUUCAAAUUGAGGGUGAGCGAGUAAUCCUGAACCAAUGCUUCGGUACAAACAAAGAUUUGGAUUUCCAGCAUGUGAAUAAACCACCCGAAGCACCGAUUGCCGGAAUAAAGUGGCAUCUGUCGAAAUUCGAACCGCAGCAAGAACGUAGAAACGAACGAGACACGGAAUCGACUUUAGAUUCUUGAAUACAGACGACGGACCCAAAAUAUUUAGAGAUAGUGGACCUGACACAACGAUGCUUACAAGGGUCGUUUAGACCGCGAACAUUCCAAGUAAUAAUACUAAACAUAGACGAAAACGACACACAGACAAAAAGCGGCCGAAACUCAUAUCGAGACACACAAAAGGCGGCCCAAACACAAAGCAAGGCACGCUGCAGAUCAACCACGCAGCAUGAACUUGUGGAGCUCCUCGGCUUCUACCCCGGAAGCUUCACCCCACAAAGAGCACUUUUCUUCAAAACCUUAUUGCUGUUCCAUUUGCGGGGUAAGGACGUCGCAUCAGAGGUCUCUCCUUUGAGGAUGAUCACUUUCCGAAGUUUCGCCCGCUCGAGCAUCGAAAUCUUCCGUGCAGAAUUCAGCCUCGCACUGGAUCUAGUUGGCCCAGUCAAAAUACUUGGGGAUGCCCCCUCCUCUCCGGGCCGAGGGGCAGUAGCGGGGGCGUUAGUUACAAUGUCCCCACCACGAGGCCCAGGCAACAUACCGAUAGACGGCACGUUCCCGAUUGUUAAGGUUUUUAUAAGUUGGCGAAUUUCGUGAAGGUUUGGACGGAGUCUCAAAGAAUUAGAAGAUGAAGAUUGACGAAAAGAAUUGAAGUUUUUGUGAUCAAAGACCCUUGAGAACACAGGUAUGAUUAUAAAUAAUUUGUGGUGAAGUUUUCAUUGUUAAAAGAUAUUUAGAAGACUUGGUUUUCUUUUUAUUUAUUCAAACUUAAGUUUUCUGAAAAACUCAGGGGUCGGGGACCGGACCCAUCAAGCUUCUCUGCGUAGAAGUUUUGGGAGACCGGUCUCUGACCUUGAGGACCGGUCCCCGUACGUGGUUUUCCUUGUUGCGCAGGGAAGGACCGGUCUCUGAAUUGAGGACCGGUCCCCGUACGCAUGUUUUGACAUCUACGCAGCGAAAGACCGGACCUCACCUUGGAGGACCGGUCUCCCAAGGACCGAUCUCCUCGAAAGGACCGGACCCUGAGAUCGUCGUCAGUUUUUAAAAUUAAGUUUUUGGAAUCCUAAUCUAUCUAGAAGUCUUCUAAACCUAUAAAUAUGAUAUGAGGAUCUCUAUUUGAAGGUAGUUGAGCGAGAUAACUUUUUAAAAACCCUAACGGCUUGAUUCGGAGUUUCGGUUCUAUGUUUUUAAACAUCAAGCGUUAGAUCACCAAUUUGAUUCUUCGUUUUGAUUCAAAUUUUAGUUAAGGAUCAAAUUGGUGAUGUUUUAAUUCGGGUUUCUCCUCAUAUUAUAUGUGCUUUCAAAGACCUUUAAUCACCACAAAUUGUUGAACUUCUACGAGCUUCGGAUGGAGCGUUAGCGCGUGGAUCUCGCGUGGAGACCGUGGAUUCGGUGGGCGUUUCGUGGAAUCGAGGCGUGUGCGGCUGCAAGGACUUGCAGUGUGAUUGGUUGGAGGAUUCCAAGCGAUCGUGGACUAGCAAAGACAAUCUACAACGAGGAUUCGGUAUUUUGAGUCUUGUAUUUUUGCUAAAUCACUUGUACUCAUGUUUUCUUAGUGGAUUUCUUUGUGUGAUCGGUCCCGUGGGUUUUUCUCUCCGAUUUGGAGUUUUUUCACGUUAAUUCUCGGUGUGCUGAUUUUAUUUUCCGCAUUUACUUCAUAUUCGUAUCGAGUUUAUUUUAUUUUACCGUUUACACCUAUUCACCCCCCUCUAGGUGUUUUUCACCUUUUAGAUACUCGGGAUCCAUAUCUUACACCGCUCAGGAUGGGCUUUUGCGGACUGUCACGAAAAGUUGAGUCGAGGCCUGCUGGGGCGUUGAUGAAGAGCGGUCCAUGUGGGCUAUCUCGACUGACAGACCCGAAUAAUGCUGAAGUGGUGAUGAAGAUUGGCUCGUGUGAAGCAAACCGGAAGGCCGACCCAAUGCUAGGUUCGGGACGUUGCGAUUCGAGCUCCAGAGCUAGCCCUCCAUCCAUCAGGCCCAAGGAGAAAUUGGGGCUCCAGUAGGGAAUGCCACAAAAAGGGCCCUCCCAGGUUUCAAGCGCUCAAUCUCGCUCCUGAUGAGUCCGCGGCGCAAGGCUCAAGAGAAACCCUAUCGCCACGCGCGCUCUGCGAGCCUCCCGUGCCCGUCCAACCCCCUCGUCUCCCACCUCGAGGAUGCGAUCCGAACCGUCCGAUGCAGUACCUCCGAGCCAGACCGGACCCCGUCUCUAAUCUCGACCGGCCUCGGCCGGAUCGGUCUUCUCCUCGCCACGCUCGACGGGCUCCUCCGUCUCCCCCAGGCCGAGGACGCCCUCCGCCGCGGNUUCAGUGUAUUACACCUCCGCCUCCCCUAGGCCGAGGGCGGCCUUCGCCGCACCGGCGUCUUCGCCGCCGCCGAUCGCCUCCUCGACGACCUCCUUCUCCUCGUCGAUGGGCUCCAUUGUGAAUUUACCAGUGGCCGGCUCGAGAGUAGCCUCGUCGAACGUCACGCCGGGCCCUCGGCCUUCGCCUCCAGUCUUCCGGCCCAGGAGAGAGAGAGGCUUCGCUUUGGGCUUCAGGGUGAACCUUUCAGCCAUCAAGCCCGAGGGAGAUGUGGGGCCCACAUGGGGAGUGUAAUGGUCAGGGCCCCCAGUGAGAUUACCAGGGGGGCCCAAAUGCCAAAUGGACCCGGCCAAAAGGAUAGAGAGAGGCCCCCACCGCAAUUUGAGAAAAGGCCCCGCUCCAAGUGGCCCAAGUCGACCCAAUGGCCCUGAUCCAAGUGGGCCUAGUCGACCUCUCCUAUCAGCGUACCGAAUGUCCCCAGAAUCGGGCCCAGAACCGAAACAAGCAGACUUGGAGGUUGAGCCCGAGUGGGUCCACUGUAAGAGGAAGCAUUUGAUCGGCCCGGGGAUCGAGGCGGAUGAGCAAAUCUUAGAAUUAAAGCUCCCCCGAUUCUCCCAAAUAUAGGACUUAAUGCGUUGACCUAUCUUUGCUUUUUCUCUAUGCUCCAAAUUCCAAUACGAAUACCUAGAAGCAGGAGCAAAAUCUUUUCCAUUAUGCUUCGAGUAGAAACCACCUGCCGCCUUAAAGCUACAGCCCCCGCCUGCCGCCAUGAUGCUACAACCCCCCUCUUCCACGUCAGGUAUAUCAUUUAAUGCGACAUCAGCAUCAGCGAAAUUUGAAUUCCAGUUCGUUGCACCAUGCUUUUCGACAAUCGCCGAGCCCUUCCUGUUCGAUUCCUCCUUGAGUUGCCGUUUAGAGUUGACCGGAAAUGGAGGUGCUUUCCGCCGCGGAGAACAGUCUGAGGACGGAGCAAUCCUCCGCCUGUCCCGGAUUUCGGACGAAUUCCAAGACGCAUCAGAGCUUGAAGAACCGCCGGCCGACGAUCGUCGCCCUCUAACAGAUCCAGCUGAGCGGUAAUGUGGCGCAGGGUCUCUCAGCAUAGGGUCGUGCUGAUCCGUCCUCUCGUUUGGUGGGUUGGCAGGUAUGGCGGCGUCGCGACGGCCCCAUCUUUCAAGCUGAAUGAGCACCGAAAGCGAGUAGUCACCCACCGUAAUUUCCUAGUUUUUCGAGAUGUCGGAAAGGUGGUUCACGGAAACGAGGCACCGAUAUCCUAUGAGAUCCACCAUCCGGAUCGAGAAAUCAUCCGCUCGUAUGAACCGGCCGAACCCGCCGACCAGUGCCGCCACCGUACGGGAGGACCAGCACUUGUAAGGUAAGCAUACAAGUCGGAUCCACACGUUGUAUGCUAGCGAUGCCCUUCGUAGCCCGAAAUAAGGAUUCUAGGGAAAACAUUGCAGCCUGAGGUCUUCAAGCGAUAGGAUCUCUCUACGGAUUAACUGAUCUGCAAGCACCCACUCCAGCAGAAAUAUCACAAAGUCGCGUUGGCUAUACUUGGCAACGUGAAAAUUAGACGGAAACCCGUCGAAGCGACUCGCCAUCCUGUUGGCUAUCAUCUCCUGUGGGAAGUAACCCAGCUUCUUAGGCGGAAGAACAUCUACCAGUAUGGCGUUGCGACAGUGAUUUUGUGUAGUGUAGAAGUCGUCUGUCUGCGGGACAAACGCGCUGAGGUAGGAUGGUCUGGCCCGCAUCGCCCUGUAUACUGCCAUCGGCAACCAGUCCAUACACCCUCUUGUGACGUGGCCUGUCUUGAAGCACCGCACACGCCUGAGGUGCCCGCGACAAGGGGACGCCCAGUGGUUGGUACCCAGACACCUGUAACACCUCCCCUUGAAAGAUAAUUUGCCAGGGAAUGUGUGGGUGGGAGUGGGUUUGGCGCUCUUUGGGCGGCGAGGAUGUGGCUGCGGUGUGGGGAUGGGAGUGAGGAGUGCCUCCUUGUAAGUCUUCUUUAAACCAGAAGUAAAGAAGGGUGUGGACUUCCCUUCACACGUGUCAGAACUCCUCCUGUCCUCAAGGUGAAAGAGAGUAAUAUGAGUUAAUGCAAGCCCUCCCUCAUCAGCCCACAUCACCUUCUUUGAAGAGGUAGAGUAGGUUUCCUCAAUAACUAGAGGCUCUUUGGAAGAAGCAGAGUAGGUGUGCUCUUUAACGCCAGGUUGCUUGGACGUUGGUCGCGGAGUCCCGCCUCGAAGACUAACUUCCGCAUCAGACGAAGACGAUGGAGCGUGUAUCUCCCGGGGUGCCUUCUUCAGUCGCCAUUGAUAGGAAGACGCUGGGCCUCCAUCCUUCUUGACGUUCGGCUUCCCCUCACGCUAAUCACCAACUUUCUCUUUGCCUUUUUCCUUGUCCUUGCCAGCUCUCGCCAUUGUUGUUAUUGUUAUGGAAAUGGUGUUAACUUAUCUAGGGCGUUUGAUUUUGAGUGUCAUCAAAUGGUGCUAGCUUGGAGUUGGAGCAAAAAUAUAUAGUGAAACACGUAAUUGGGAGCAUAUACAUGUAAAAACUUAUAUUUUAAUUGAAUCAGUGCAAUGUAGUUGACAUGAUAUCUCUAAAAAAAAUAAAUAAAAUUUUUUCAAUCAGGAUCAUAUUUUUUUACUGCACAUAGAAUAUUCUCCUCGCAAUCCGAAAUAGAAUUUUAAUUUGCUAACAAACACCUAGGUUACUAGGUACCAUGCUGAGUAAGUCCAACUUAGGCCCAUUGGAUAGGAUUGAGAACAUAAUGGUCUAAUCUAGUUCUACAUACUACCCCUUUUCUCACUUUGCUCCUAACCUUGUUUUUCGCUCUUAGACUCCUAACAUUUGGAUUUUAUUUCGUUUUACUUGGAACGAUUCAAAUUCAUGUUAAUUUUGAUAAAUUAGGCUACGACAACUCAAGUAAAGCCUUGCCUACUAAUAUAGAUCAUUGUUAUAGUUUGAUAGCUCCUGGUUAAUCUCCGAACUAAUUCUUUUAAUGGUUCAACAACAAGACGUUGGAUCCUCCAAAGAGGAACAGACAUCUUAUGCAAGGUCGAAACGAUCAUAGAUGCAUAAGAAGAGAUUGAGGGUGCUGUGACUGGGUAUUGGCAUGAUUGGCAUGUAUACGGAAGAAGACGUUAAGCCCGUGGUGAAAAAGUUAAAAAGGGGGUAGGAACCAAUAGUGUAAUUAAGUCUAAACGUUAAAUAUCUAAUUGCAAACACGUAUAAAAUUAUGAAUAUAUUUCUCCAAAGUUUAAGCGGUUAAAUCUGUCUCUAAGACGUGAAAUGACAAUAUUGCAUUUGCAAUUAUGUCCUUCAAAAUGGCACCUUUACAAAUAUUUUCUCUAAAUACUGCAUUAACUUUCCUUUUCUCUCUUUAUUCUCUGCUCCUAUAUUUCUCUUUCUCCUUCUUGACCUCCAUUAAUGGCUCCUCCCCGUUGGCUUCGACUUAGAUGGAGAUGGACGAGGUGACGUGCAGCAUACUCACCUUGGCCGGCCCUGCACUCUCCCAGAAUCUCUGCUCCUUCCUUGUAAAACUCUAGUUUUUCCAAGCGCUCUCUCUUGUUCUAUCCUUUCCUCUUCUUUCCUUCUUUCGAUGUGUAAGGAGAGGUAAAAGUGUUACUUUACAUAAUACUUAAUUAUGGUUAAGUUAUUUGGUUCAACCUUACAGGUAAACAAAUUUUACUAAUAGACUCUAACAGCAUAGACUAUAAACAUAGAAGUACAUUUGAAAGGAUAUAUUUGAUUACUUGAACUUCAGAUGGAUAUAUCUGCAAUUUGACGCAUGUGGUUGCAGAGAGCUAUAUGCAAUUUAACCGAGAGAGGCUAGAAACAAAAUAAAAAUUGGAUAAAGUUCCGGGACGAAAUCGUGCAAUUAAUUCAAAUUGAAAUUAACGACGACGGGUCUGGGUUGGGUUUCUUUCGAUUGGUUUGGGUUCGGUCUAAUACAGGGCAACAAAAAGGGAGUUUUGAGAACCCCCUCAACUUAUAGAUCAUUAAAAAAUAGUCCCUAAAUACCGAAGGUUUUUCCUUCUUGUAUAACGACAACCUCUCAAUUAAUUUUUUCUAUGAUUUCUUUUUUUUCUUUUUAUUUUUGUGUGUGUGUGUUUGUUUGUUUGUUUGUUCUUGUUGUUGUUGUCGUCAUUCAAUGAAAAGAAAUGGGGAUUAAUUUCGGCUUCGUAUAGUUAACAACUCUUUCCUUUUUCAGCCGCUGAAAUUUUUGCUAAAGUUUUUGCUGAUUUUCAAAAAGAAGAUGAAAUCUCAGUUAAGGAAGAUUAUAAUAAAUUAAGAGAGAUCUAUUUUUUCAAAAAUACAGAGCUUAUAGGUCUACAUAUGCUCGCCAGUUAUGGCAAAAGCGAGUGGAAAGAAAUGUGCAGCUAUAACAAAAGUGAGUGGAAAAAGAUGAGAAAGGCUAAGUUUACAACUAAGAGAGAUUGUAAUCUUUAUAAACCUUCAUUCAGUGGCUUUAGAAAUUAUUCAAUUCCGUCGGGCUUUCAAUAAUAAAAAAAAAAAAAUGACAAGACUUGUAGAAAUAGGAGGGAAAUGAAAAAACAAAAUAUAAAAUAUAAAAGGAUCAAAAAGUGCUUUUUAAAUCAAUAUAUUUGGUUAAAAAAAAAUAAAAUUCAAAAAUAAAAUAUAAAAUUCAAAAAAAGAAAUAUUUACACCUAGAUACCCUCCCCAAUCUGAAGAAGGCCCAUCCUUGAGAGAAAGGCCCAACCUUUCUCCGAACGAUGGGCCUUGAUUUUCUCGGGAAGACCAUCACGGCCCCCGAGCACAAGGCUUGGGAAGGGCCGAGUCUUGGGGUUGGCCCAUCGGCUGGCCUAUUGGACUAACAUGGCCCAGGCCUUUUGCGGGCCAUGUCGUGCUGGGCCGAAGCCCACGGAGGGCGGGCAAACAUGAUUAGAGAUGUCAACGGGUCGGAUCCGGGGCGGAUUUUCACAAACCCGAACCCGAACCCGACUCCAAACCCGAGACCUGAACCCGAACCCGACGGAUUUUAAAAAUCCAUAUCCAAACCCGAAUCCGACCAAAAAUCCGAAACCCGAACCCGAACCCGAACCCGAAAAUUUGAACCCGAAAUAAUUAUUUCUUUUUUCAAUAUUUCAAAAUAUAUUAUAUUAAAUCUAAAUUUUUAAAAUACAAAUUCAAAUAUAACAUCAAAUAUAUAUAUAUAAAGAGAGAGAGAGAGAGAGAGAGAGAGAGAGCAGCGCUGUUGUGCUCUCAGGAGCAGGGUCUCCGUGCUCCUGAGCUGUUUUCGAUGAUGGAAUUUUUGAAUCGAUGAUCGGCUCCAUUAGACUUGAUCUAGGGUAUUUGAAGUGUCUAGAAAAUAAUUUUUGUGAUUUUUUGAUAUUAUUUACCUAGUGAUCGAAAGGAUUCAAAAUUAAUAAUUUUUAAUGGCUGAUAUCUGCCGUUUUCAAGUUUAACGGUGUAGAAGUAUUCAAAUCAGAUAAAUUUUGAUGCAAAAUUCUUUAUACUAUAUACAACAAAAUCAGUAUUUCUGAUCGAAAAUUUUAGUGCUAUAUCACCGCUUUUUAUAGGAUUUUUAUUUUCAGCCGUUAAAAAUUAUUGAUUUUGAAUCAUUUCGAUUGGUAGGUAAAUGAUAUCGAAAAAAAGCAAAAAUUAUUUUCUAGAAACUUCAAAUACGCUAGAUCAAGUCUAACGGAGCCGAUUGUCGAUUCAGAAAUUUCAUCAUCGAAACGGCUGAGAGCACAGCAGUCCUGCUUUUAUAUAUAUAUAUAUAUAUAUAUAUAUAUAUAUAUAUAUAGAGAGAGAGAGAGAGAGAGAGAGAGAGAGAGAACAGGGCUGCUGUGCUCUCAGGAGCACGGAGGCCUCCGUGCUCUUGAGCCGUUUUCGAUGAUGGAAUUUUCAAAUCGACGAUCGGUUCCGUUAGACUUGAUCUAGCGCAUUUGAAGUUUUUAGAAAGUAAUUUUUGCGAUUUUUUGAUAUCAUUUACCUAGUGAUCGAAAAACGAUUCAAAAUUCAUAAUUUUAAUAGUGAUAUCUGCCGUUUUCAAGUUUAACGUGUAGAAGUAUCAAAAUCAGAUGAAAUUUUGAUACAAAAUUCUUUAUACUAUCUGCAAUAAGAUCAAUAUUUUGAUCGAAAAUUUAGUGCUAUAUCACACUUUUAUAGAUUUUUAUUUCAGCCGUUAAAAAUUAUUGAUUUUGAAUUCUUUCAAUUGCUAGGUAAAUGAUAUCGAAAACCAGCAAAAAUUAUUUUCUAGAAACUCAAAUACACUAGAUCAAGUUUAACGGAGCCGAUCAUCGACGGAAAACUCCAUCAUCGAAAACGCUCAGGACACAGAGGCCUCCGUGCUCCUAAGAGCACAGCAGCCCGGUUAUAUAUAUAUAUAUAUAAUAUAUAAAUAUAUAUAUAUAUAUAUAUAUAUAUAUAAUAUUAUAUAUAUAAUAUAUAUAUAUUAUAUAUAGUCCAGCUGGCUAUACUAUCGAUAGCACGGGCCUCUCGUGCUACCAAGUUGUUUCGAUAAUCGGCUCAAAUCGACGAUCGCUCCGUUAGACUUGAUCUACACAUAAAAGCAUUGAAACUAAAUUUUCAAUAAUUUUUUCGACAUCAUUUGACUAGUGAUGCAAAACAUCUCAAAAUUGACCAUUUAAUGCCGAUGUGCUGUUUGUGAUUUAACGGUGUAAAACAAUCCAAAUCCGAUAUAAAAUUUUAUAGAAAAUUUCUUUCACUAUUAGAGUAAGAUCAGCAUAUCUGAUCUUGAAUUUAAAUCUUUAUCAUCAUUUUUAUGCAGAUUUUUAAUUUUCACCUCAAUUUAGUUAUUUGUUUUGAUAGGUAAAUGAUAUCGAAAAAUUAUGAAAUUUAGUUUCCAAAUACUUUUAUAUAUAGUUCUAGUUUAACGAGCCGAUCGUCGAUUUGAAAGCCACAAUCAUCGAAAACAAUUUGUAGCACGGAGCCCCGUGCUACCGAUAGUAUAGUGCCGGACUAAUACUAUAUAUAUAUAUAUAUAUAUAAUAUAUAUAAUAUAUAUAUUAUAUAUAUAUAUAUAUAGUAUAUAUAUAUGUAUAUAAUAUAUAUAUAUGUAUAUAUAUAUAUACAUAUAUAUAUAUAAUACAUAUAUAUAUACAUAUAUAUAUAUGUAUAUAUAUUAUAGCAGCUGUUGUGCUCUCAGAGCAUGAAGGCCUUCGUGCUCCUGAGCUGUUUUCGAUGAUGGAGUUCGAAUCGACGAUCGUUCCGUUAAAAUUAAUCACUAGCGUAUUUGAAGUUUCUAGAAAAUAAUUUUUGCAUUUUUUGAUAUCAUUCAUAUCUAGCAAUCGAAAGAUUCAAAAUCAUAUUUUUUAAACGCUUGAAAAUAAAAAUCCUAUAAAAAGUGUGAUAUAGCACUAACAUUUCCGAUCAAAAAUAUUGAUCUUGUUGUAGAAUAGUAUAAAGAAUUUUGUAUCAAAAUUCAUCUAUUUAAUACUUCUACACCAUUAAACUUGAAAACGCAGAUAUCAAACCAUUAAAAAUUAUGAAUUUUGAAUCCUUUCGAUACACUAUGUGAUAUCAAAAAAAUCACAAAAAAUUAUUUUCUAAAAACUUCUAAUGCGCUAGAUCAAGUCUAACGAACUGAUCGUCGAUUGAAAAAUCCAUCAUGAAAGCGGUCACGACAUGAGCCCUCCGUGCUCCUGAGAAGCCUGCUAUAUAAUAUAUAUAUAUAUAUAUAUAUAUAUAUAUAUAUAUAUAUAUAUAUAUAAUAAUAUAUAAUUUGAGCUCUAUACUUUAAAAUACCAAGUUAUGGUCUUGUAAUUUUUAGCCAUUGGAUUAAGAGAAUAUACGUUAGGAUGAUGUGGGCCCCUCUAGGGUGUAGUGGUGUUGAUUGAAUAGUAUAUAUCUAAUGUUGAAAUAAUCGAUGAGUAGAUCUAACGGUGAAAAACUUACAAGCACCAAGUGCAUGGUACUUUUUACAAGCACCAUAGGGCUGGACUCUAUAUAUAUAAUAUAUAUAAUUAUAUAUAUAUUAUAUAAUAUAUAUAGAGAGAAGAGAGAGAGAGAGAGAAAGAGAGAGAAGAGAGAAGAGAGAGAGAGAAGAGAGAGAAUUGGAACUGGCUACUAUUAGUAGCAAAAUACCAUUAUUUGCUAACCCCAGUUUUUUAGCCUUUGGAUCAACUGUUCAAUAUUUCUAACCAAUUGGAUAAAUACUAUAAACCCAGUGGAGACUACUCAACCCUAGGGACCACUCAACUCUAACCGACUAAUAUCAUCCCGACCUAUAUUUUCUCAUCAAAGGGUUAAAACUUGAUAAAAAAGAGAGUUUUACUAUUAAUAGUAUUCCAGCCUUAAUUCUAUACUAUAUAACGAUUCAAAUUCCAAAUUUUUAAUAGUUGAUAUCUGCCGUUUCAAUUUAACGUGUAGAAGUAUCUUAAAAUCAGAUGAAAU
rnacentral:lncRNA from 1 species